AAUAUUAUACAAUCCAAAAUAAUAAAUAAAAUAAUAAGUAAUAAAUAAAAGAUAAAUAUUAUACAAAAUAAUUUUGUUAAUUAGAUAAAAUACACGAUAAAUAAAAAUAAAUUUCAAAAUAAAAUACAAGAUAAUCUUAAUUAAAUAUCUAAUUAAUAUACAUGCACAUAACACCUUUCAUUUUUAAUGAAAUCAAAGUCUCAUUCAACAAUGUUUAAUAAUAAGGUGAUAUGCAUUUAAGUUAAACACAAGCAACAUGCCACAUGUAUAGAGAACAAUGCUAUUUUAGAAAUAAAGACAAUCAAACUUGAACUUCAUGAUUUAAGACCAUAAUGAACUAAUCCUAAAGCAGAAAGAUUCAAGGCAAAGAUUGUUUGCAAAAUAAACCUAAUCACAUCAAUUGCUCACAAAUAAGACAUUAUAAAUGUUUUAACUCGAAACCCCAAAGAUACGAAAGUAGAAAGCCUUUAAGAACCUAAAGAGAAAUUAAAACCAAAGCAACAAAAACUUAACAAGAAAAGACUAUAAUGGUAGGCCAAAGAUAAGAGGUAGUUUUGCCUCUCAACAUAAAUAUACAACAAUUAUAUACCAAAGUUAAAAAACAACAACCACCAACCACAUCAUAAGUCAGGGUGCUUCCAAUAAUAACAGUGUUACUUAAGAAAACAAAGUACAUAUUAUAAUCAGAAACAUAAAAUUUUAGCAACUUUAAUCAAACUCUUCAUGAUCUAAAAUGUACUAGAACAGGUACAGUUAUCAUCGAAAGUUACCAUACAAUACAACAAAAAUUCUAUGCAAGAUCAUAGAUUUUCAAAGAAUCCAAUAAGAAAGAGGCAAUCUUCCAUCUCAGUGCUUAACUAGAUUUAAGUUUAUGAAAUUAAUCUUAAGAAAGUAAUCCAUCAUGCAACAAAAUAAAGUGAAAUCAGCAAAACAAGAAGAAUAAAAAAACAACACAAGAAGAAAAAGGUAUUCUUCAUUGUAAGCACUCAUCUUCAGUGCUAGGUUGGAUUAAGUUUCUGAAAUUAAACCUAAUAUUACAAUUUGUCAUGCAACAGAGUUGAACUAACAAAAUAAAAAAAUAAAAAAUAAAAAACUCAACCAUACAAAUUUGGAGUACACUACUAUACAAUCUCUAAUUCCUCUCUCUAGCAAAUCGUGCUUGGAGUACACGAUCAACUAAUUUCUGUAUAGAUGACUAAAAGCAACCACAAUUAAGAAAAGUUUACAAAACUACAAUCUGUACACAAAAGAUAAAACUAAAAUUUAAAUGGAAUGUUAAAGCAUAAGAGAUCAAAUAUUAAUUGAAGUUUAGAUCAAACUCCAGCAAGUUAAAAGCACUACAACAAAAAAUUAGACAUUAACCAGAAGCUAUGGGAAUGAAAUCUAGAAGCCAACUUGUAGAAUAAAACCAACAAGCAUACAAACAUAGAAAAUUUGAAACUUUAAUUCCUUCUAUCCUGCAAGGUAUGCUUGGAGCACAUAGCCAAUUAAGCUUCAAAGAGACAAAAAGAUGACAACUAGGCACACUCAUGAAUGAAGAAACCACAACCCAAGAAUUUCUUUUGCAAUAACAUUCUCCUAAUGCAUUCUCAAACAACUUCAUCAAAUUAAAUGCAACCACAAUGAAAAGUUUGACAGCAUCAUCAAUAACUAAAAAAGCCAAGACAGUGAAACCUAAGAACCCCAUUUGUCAUGCCACAGAGAAAAACAAGAAAACUCCCAUACACAAAAAGUCACAAAUUUUUUAUCCUUAAAUCCUACACACAGCCAUACAAAUUUAGAAUCCAUAAUUCUCCUGCAAGUCAUUCUUGGACCACACAGCGCAUUAAGUUUCAUACAGACUAUCAGAUCACAACCACACUAAAAGAAGAACAACCGAAGGGAUUUUUCAAAGUAAAGUUACAAAGCCCUAAUUUAUGUAAAAUUUUAAAAAUGACACAAGAAGAAUCCAGAGACAAUCUCAAUGAGAAAGACACCAACUGAGAGGCUAUGACAACUGUGGGAAAACAUUUAGUUACAAGUGAUUGUAUCUUUUAAUCUGCUGAUUGUAAUCUGUAUAUAUCUGUAUCCCUAAAAUUGAAAAUUUGUAUCUCUAGAAUUAAAGACAAAAUAUCAGGAUAGACAAUUCCUUGAUUAUAGGGAUUAGAUUUAAGAAUAUUUAGUUUCCUAAUUUACUCUCUAGCUAGCUGUAUUUAAAUCUAUGGUGUUUGUAUGAUUAAACACAAGUUUUCAAUAUACUCUCAUUUUUCCACAUGGUAUCAGAGCUUUAGACUCUUCUUGGGAAGAAAAUUUCUCAGCCUUCAUUGCUGAAUAUUUUUAGGCCUUCAUAGCCAAAUUUUGUUAAGUCUGUCAUACUUUUAUUUUGUUCAUUUUUGGCCUUCAUUGCCUAUACUUGUUUCAGUCCUGAGAAAGGUAAUUAUGUCAGAAAUAGCAAAAUCUACCGCUAUUACUCGAUUUGGAGAAGUAACAACUGGUCAAACCACAACGAAAUUACAGAAUAUCCAAGCUGUAUACAAGUUGAAUGGAAAGAACUACUUGAAGUGAUCUCAGUUGGUUCAAACCUUUCUAAAAAGGAAAGGAAAAUUGAGCCAUCUUCUUGGCACUGGUCCUGAGAAAAGAGAUCCAAAAUUUGAGGCUUGGGAUGAAGAGGAUUCUAUGGUUAUGUCAUGGCUGUGGAAUUCUAUGACGCCAGAUAUUAGUGACACUUAUAUGUUUUUGUCCACGACCAAAGACAUUUGGGAAUCAAUUCGUCAAACCUAUUCCAAAGUUAAAGAUGCUGUUCAAGUCUAUGAGGUCAAGAUCAAGACUGCAGCUCUCAAAUAAGGGAAUAAGUCAGUCACAGAGUAUGCUAUUCUUCUUAAAAAUCUUUGGUAAGAGAUGGAUCACUACCGAUGCAUAGAAAUGAAGUGUAGUGAAGAUGCAACAACUUUGAAGAAAUUUAUUGAAAAAGAUCAAGUCUAUGAUUUUCUUACUGGACUGAAUGUUGAGUUUGAUCAAGUUAGAGUCUAAAUUCUGGGAAAACAGGAUUUGCCUUUUUUAAAUGAAGUAAUAUCCAUGGUUAGAGCAGAAGAGAGCAGAAAAGGAGUGAUGCUUGAUAGUGUGCAUGUAGAAGGAUCUGCUAUGGUCUCUAAUGGUGGGAAGAACCAAAGCUUAGAACAAUUACCAAUCAGUGAGAAUGGGAAAGGUGAUUCGACUAAAACUUCAAAUCGCGACAAUCUUUGGUGCACCUAUUGCAAAAAGCCAAGGCACACCAGAGAUCGUUGCUGGAAACUACAUGGAAAACCUUCAACUUCAAGCAAAAAAUGAGGUUAUAAAGGAGGACAGCAAGAAAUCAAGGACAAGCUCACAUGACUGCAAUGGAGUUAAACCAGGAGAAGUCUCAGGAACAAGAAGAGUUGGAUAAAAAAGAGAUUGAAAAACUAAGAAGCCUAUUGGGAACUCUUGAAAAGGCUACUGGUGUAUGCUCCUUGACACACUCAGGUAAGGACUCUGGUGCAGGUAAAAUCUCUAAUUCUCAUGGAUUAAAUGUCUCAGAUAAGUCCAUUAAGAGUUCUUGAGUCAUUGACUCAGGAGCCACAAACCACAUGACACAUUUUUCACAAAAGUUUAGUACAUAUACCCUAUGUCCUGGUACUAAAAAAAUUACUGUUGCAGAUGGUUCACUUACUACAGUGACAGGAUUAGGAGAUGUUCAAAUUAAUCCCUCAUUCAUUCUUAAAAAUGUUUUUCAUGUUCCUAUAUUGUCUACUAAUAUGAUAUCUAUAUAAAGACUUACUAGAGACAUGAACUGCAAUGUGACUUUUUAUCCCUCUUACUGUGAAUUUCAGGAUCAGGAUUCGGGGAAGAGGAUUGGACUUGCUAAAGAGAAAGAUGGACUAUACUAUCUUGAGACAUCCAACAACAUAAGUAAUAUCAAGAAUAGUUUACCUUUGUCAUUUUUUUCUGAACAAUCUUCUAAUAAAGAUAAAAUCUGACUUUAUCAUUUUCGUUUUGGACACCCUUUUUUUGGAACUUUGAAAAACAUGUUUCCUUCCUUGUUCAAAGGAUUAAACGUUGAAGAGUUUCAUUGUGAUGUUUGUGAACUUGCAAAACACAGACGUGUAUCUUUUUCUAUUAGCAACAAAAAAGUUCUACUCCAUUUUACUUGAUUCAUAGUGACAUCUAGGGUCCCUUUACAGUUCCUAAUAUUUUUGGGGUAAAACGAUUUAUGUCAUUCAUAGAUGAUUGUACCAAAGUUUCUUGAGUUUUUUUACUUAAAUUCAAAUCAGAUGUGAAUAGUAUAUUUUUUAGCUUCCAAAACAUGAUCUAAAAUCAAUUUGAAGUGAGAAUCAAGAGAUUUAGGUAUGAUAAUCAAGAGACUAUUUCAAUCAGAGUCUAUCCACCUAUUUCCAAAAUGAAGGGAUUAUCUAUGAGUCAUCUUGUGUUAAUAAUCUACAGCAAAAUGAAAUGACAUAGAGAAAAAACAGCCACUUAUUAGCCACAACCCGAGCCUUCCUUUUUCAAGCAAAUGUGCCCAAAUCUUACUGGGGGAAAGCUGUUCUCACAGCUACACAUUAUAAAUAGGUUACUUUCAAGGGUUUUGAGAUUUAAAACUCCUAUGAAACUACUCUCACAAUUCUAUCCCAACCUUAAUACCACAAACAACCUCACACCUAGGAUAUUCAAUUGUACAUCAUUUGUUCAUGUUCACAGUCAUAAUAAGAGAAAGUUGGAUCUGAGAGCAAUUAGGUGUAUCUUUAUGGGGUAUUCAUCAACUCAGAAAAGGUAUAAAUGCUAUCAUCUUCCUACCAAAAAGUUCUAUAUGUCUGCAGAUGUCACUUUUGAAUAAAGUAAACCAUUUUUUACUCAACCUUAUCUUCAAGGGGAGACAUCAUUUAUAGAAGAUAAGGAUAAAGACUUCUUUUUGCUUGACUUGUCAUCCUCCUCCAAAACAGUUUCACCCAUUAAUUCUUUUGAGCCUAAACUCAUUUCUUCAGAAUCCAAGUCAAACAUUGAUUCUAAAUUUGAACCCAUUCUAAACACAAAAGUUGUGACUAAAGAUAAUACUAUUCUUGAUUCUGUGAAAGAACUACAGGUGUACUCAAAAAAAAAAAUUUCAGCUCCUGAACCGAUGCAAAUCCAAGAACCUGAUCCUAACUCUGAAAAUGAGGUAAUUACAGUCUCUGAUUCUAUUUCUUAAAAUGAGCAUGACUCUUCUAAAAUUAGUGAUUAUGAUCUACCUAUUACCAUUAGAAAAGGAACUAGAGAAUGUACUAAACAUCUAUUAUACCCAAUCUCUAAUUUUGUGUCAUUUGAAAAGUUUUCACCAUCCCAUAAAAAUUUUCUUGUGAGCCUAGACACUAUUUCUAUUCCAACUACAUUAUCUGAAGCAUUAUCCAAUGAGAAAUGGAGGCAGGCGAUGAAAACAGAAAUUGAGGCCUUAGAGAAAAAUAAGACAUGAGAAUUGGUAAAGUUGCCUGCAGAAAAACAUCCAGUUGGGUGUAAAUGAAUUUUCACUGUAAAGUAUAAGGCAGAUGGUACUAUUGAAAGAUACAAGGCUAGGCUGGUGGCUAAGGACUACACUCAAACUUAUGGAGUGGAUUAUCAGGAAACUUUUGCUCCAGUUGCCAAGAUGAAUACAGUUAAGAUUUUAUUAUCCUUGACGACAAAUUACAAUUGACAGCUUCAACAAUUUGAUGUAAAGAAUGCCUUUUUACAUGGUGAUUUGGAAGAAGAAAUAUAUAUGAAAGUUCCAUCGGGAUUUGGGAGUCAUCUAGAAGCACAAAAAGUAUGCAAGCUGAAAAAGGCUUUAUAUGGCCUUAAACAAUCUCCUAGGGCCUGGUUCGAGAGAUUUGCCAAAGUGAUGCUAGGAAUGAAAUAUAAACAGAGUCAAGGGGAUCACACACUGUUUAUCAAGCACUUAGAUUCGGGUAAGGGCACAAUUCUAUUAGUAUAUGUUGAUGAUAUAAUUGUAACUGGAGAUGAUGAAAAAGAAAGUCUCUAAAACAGUGUUUGAUCAGAGAAUUCGAGAUAAAAGAGCUAGGGAGAUUGAAGUACUUCCUAGGAAUUGAAGUAACCCACUCACGUCAUGAUAUUUUUAUCUCACAACAGAAAUAUGUGAUGGAUCUUUUGAAAGAAACUGGGAAGCUCGCAUGUAAACCUGCAAGUACCCCUAUAGAUCUUAAUCAUAAGCUUGGAGAAGCUAAUGAAGAUACUGCUGUAGAUAGGGAGAUGUACCAGAGAUUAGUUGAAAGACUUAUUUAUCUCUCACAUACUAGACCUGAUAUAACAUAUGCUGUGAGUGUGAUAAGUCAAUUUAUGCAUAAUCCUAAAAAAGUACACCUACAGGCUGUCUACCGUGUACUACACUAUUUGAAGGUUAAUCCUGGGAGAGGUAUCUUGUUUAAAAGAAAUUCAGGGUUGAUACUAGAGGCAUAUACAGAUGUUGAUUAUGCAGGUUCAAUAACUGAUAGAAGAUCUACCUCAGGCUACAACAUUUUUCUAGGUGAUAAUCUUGUAACUUGGAGGAGUAAAAAACAAAAUAUGGUGACAAGAUCAAGUGCUGAAGCAAAGUUUAGGGCAAUGGCUCAAGGAAUUUGUGUUAAAGAUUAUUCUAGAAGACUUGAAGAUCAAAUGGGAUGGACCAAUGAGACUUUACUGUGAUAAUAAAUCUGCAAUAAACAUUGCACACAAUCCUGUGCAACAUGACAGAACAAAACACAUUGAAGUAGACCGACACCUCAUAAAGGAAAAGCUAGACAGUUGAUUGAUUUGCACCCCAUAUGUAUCAACCAAGGGUCAACUUGCAGAUGUGUUGACUAAAGGUCGCAACAGUGCGACAUUUCAAGAAAUUAUUUCCAAGCUGAAAAUGAAAAACACCUAUUCACCAGCUUGAGAGGGAGUGUGGGAAAACAUUUAGUUACAAGUUGUAUCUUGUAAUCUGCUUAUUGUAAUCUGUAUAUAUCUGUAUCCCUAAAAUUGAGAAUUUAUAUCUCUAGAAUUAAGGACAAUAUCAGAAUAGAUAAUUCCUUGAUUAUAGGGAUUAGAUUUAAGAAUAUUUAGUUUCCUAGUUUACUCUCUAGCUAGUUGUAUUUAAAUCUAUGGUGUUUGUAUGAUUAAACACACAAAUUUUCAAUAUACUUAUUUUUUCACAACAUAUAUUUAGAGUUUCAAAAAAUCCAGCAAAAGGAAAUAAUCUUCCUUUUAAACAUUCAACCAUAAUGCAUGUCAAAAUUAAAUAGCAAAAAUUGAACCUAGCAAACCACUGUCCUGUAACAAACAGAGUGAAACCAACAAAUUAAAAACCUCCCUAAACACAUACAUACACACACGAGGCACAUAAAUUGAAUUCACUGCUUGAAGCACACAAAGAGAAAAACAACAGAAAAACUCCCACACACAACCACAUAAAUUUUUAAUCCUUAAAUGCUUACACACAACCAUAAAAAUUUAGAAUCCUUAAUUAGCCCUACACUACAAAACAAGAAGGAAACUCCCAUACACAUAUUUAGAGUUUCAAAGAAUCCAACAAAAGGAAAUAAUCUUCCUUUUAAACAUUUGAUCACAAUGCAUGUCAAAAUUAAGUUUCACAAAUUGAACCCAACAAAUCAACAUGUUCUGUAACAAACAAAGUGAAAUCAACAAAACAAAAAACUCUCAAAAUACACCUACACACACAUCAGGCACAGAAAUUGAAUUGAGCUAAUCAUGCAAGCCAUUAGCUUAGAGCACACAAAGAGAAAAACAAGGAAACUCCUACACAGCCACACAAAUUUUUAAUCCUUAAAUCCUACACACAUACAACUUUAGAAUCCUUAAUUCCCCCUACACUACUAGUCGUUCUUGGAGCACACAGCACAUAAGUUUCAUAAAGAGCAAUGAAUUACAACCACACUAAAGGAAGAACCCAGUGAAUUUUUCAAAGUAAAGUUACAAAGCCCUAAUUUAUGUAAAAAUUUAAAAAUGAAACAAGAAGAAUCAAAACACAAUCUCAAUGAGAAUGACACCAACUGAGAGACUAUGACAACAUAUGCAGCUUCAAAGAAUCCAGCAAAAGAAAUAAUCUCACUUUUUAAGCAUUCAACCACAAUGCAUGUCAAAAUUAAGUUGUAGAAAUGAAACAUAACAAACCAAUCUGUCCUGUAACAAACAGAGUGAAACCAACAAAACAAAAAAAAAAGAGUAAAAAUUUAAAAAUCCAGAAAAAAGAAAUAAUCUUCCUUUUAAGCAUUCAACCACAAUGCAUGUCAAAAUUAAGUUUCAAAAAUGAAACCUAACAAACCAAUCUGUCCUGUAACAAAUAGAAUGAAAGCAACAAAACAAAAAACUCCCAAAAUACACCCCUAAACACACAAGAGGCACAAAAAUUAAAUUCACUUUAUCAUGCAAGCCAUUUGCUUAAAGCACAUAAAGAGAAAAACAAGAAGGAAACUUCCAUAUGCACAGCCUCACAAAUUUUUAAUCCUUAAAUCCUACACACAACCAUACAAAUUUAGAAUCCUUAAGUCCCCCUAUACUGCAAGUCAUUUUUGGAGCACACAGCGCAACAAGUUUCAUAGAGACCAACAGAUCACAACCACAAUAAAGGAAUAACAACCCAAGGAAUUUUCCAAAGUAAAGUUACAAAGCCCUAAUUUAUGUAAAAGUUUAAAAAUGAAACAAGAAGAAUCAAGACACAAUCUCAAUGAGAAAAACACCGAAAGGCUAUAACAAUAGAUACUUAGAGUUUCAAAGAAUCCAGCAAAAGGAAAUAAUCUUCCUUUUAAGCAUUCAAGCCCAAUGCAUGUCAAAACUAAGUUUUAGAAAUUUAACCUAAUAAACAGAGUGAAACCAACAUGACAAAAAACUCUCAAAAUACACCUACACACACAAGAUGCACAAAAAUUGAAUUCACCUUAUCCUGCAAGCCAUUUGCUUAGAGCACACACCCCAUACAGAUACUCUUCCUUUUAAGCAACAAUUGCUAUCCUCGUCAAAAUUAAGUUGCAGAAAUUAAAAGAAAGAAACCAUUCUGUCCUACAACAAAAAGAUUGUAACAAACAAAACAAGAAACUUACAAAAUAUACGUACACGAGGCAUAGAAAUUGAAUUCCUCCUUAUCAUGCAAGCCAUUCGCUGAAAGCAGACAACUACUAAAUAAUAUCCACACUUAAGAAGCCACAACUAAGGGGUUUUUCAAAAAGUAAAAUUCCAAAAACUAAACUAAUAUAGAUAAAUGUGUCACAAGAAGAAUCAAAACAUGACAUAACAAAACCUCAAUGAGAAAAAAAUGACAACUAUGAGUGGCCAAAGAUAAUAACUAACUCCAAUAACAAAAGAGGCAAGGAAUCUUCCUUUUAACACUUAACCUUUGUGCUUGGUGGAACUUAAUUUCAGAAAAUAAACCUAAGAAAUUAAUCCAUCAAGCAAUAAAAUUGAACCAACAAAAAAUAACUAACUCCUAACAUGCACAACACACAGCUAUCCAAAUUUGAAUCUCUAAUUCUUCCCAUCUUGCAAAAUUGCAAGCACACAAUCCAUUGAGCUCCAUAGAAACUACCAAAUAACAAUCAUACUUACGAAACCACAAUCCAAAGAUUUUUUCAAAAGCAAAAUUACAAAACUCAACUCGUACACAAAAAAUGAAAGAAUGAAACAAGAAGAAUGUGAUAUAAUAAAAUCUUAAUGAGAAAAGAUAUCUACAAAAAUGCUUAGGAAUAUUAUGCUUCCAUUUCAAAGAGCCAAAUAACAAGAGGAAGCUUCAUUCAAAGUCACAUACCAUUCUAAAAUCAGCAAGAUGUGAUAUAAUAAGUCCAUACCACUUAAGUUAAAUGCAAUUGUCAUGGAACCAAUAAUCUUAGUGGACCAAAACCGAACAUAAAAACAAAAUCUCAACAAGAAAAGACAUCUAUAGAGAUGCUUAGGGAUAUUAUUGUUUCCAUUCAACGUGUUAUAUAACAAUUACACACUAGUUGAGUUAAACACAAUUGUCAUGCCAUAGGAAAAUUUUAGUGUUUCCCCCAAGUAUAACUAUAACAAUGCCAUUUGAGAAAUAAAAAUAGAACUUGGAGGCCAUGCAACAACUACAAAAAAAGCAAGCCAAAAUUGAUCAAAACCAAUGCAGCAAAUAAACAAAAUGAAGACAAGGACAGCUAGCAAAUAAAGUAAAAGUAAAGCAAUAAGAAAUGAAUAAAGCAACAGCUAACCACAUUCAUUACCAACUCAUUUUACUGAUUGAACAACCCCAAGCUCACAAAUAAAGUAUUAUAACCUGAACCUUAACCUAAACUCAAAACCUCCAAUAUAUCCUAAAUAAAUUAACCCCAAUACAACCCUAAGAUAAUUAUCCAUUACUUUCUAAAUAGAAGGACUUAUAUUGCUAAAGACUUAACCCUAACCUUAAGACAACAUUAACUUACUUUCUCAACGAAUAAUCAUAACAUAACAUAAGAAAAACUCAAUGAGAACACACAUCUAAUGAAAGACGGAAAAAGAUGCAUAUUUAGAGUUUUAGAGAAUACAAUAUGAAAAAAGGUAAGCUUUCUUUUGAAGUGGCAUAUCAUUCAACAUAUGGUAUAGCAAAGCAGUAGCCUCGAUAAGUUCCUUUGGAACCAAAAAGAAAAAUUCAUUAAAAAAAUUACAUUUGUUCCGUGAAUAUCCCACUACUUUACAACCAAUACCAUAAAAAAACAUGAUGAAAAUAUUGGUAUUUGUACUCACCUAGAUAACCUCUCUCCAUUUUAGUAUCAUUAAUGCAAAAAUUAAUAGAUUUUUAUGAGCAAAACAUUAAAUGAUAAUUGAUCUUCCUAAAAAAGUAGUUUCUCAAUGAUAAUUACAAAAAUCCUAUACCAUCAAAAAAAUCCAAGAUACUAACAUCUAUUGAUUGGCAAAUGCUAAAAGAGAUUUUAAUCAAACAAGAAUAUUUACAAUUAAGGCUUAGGGCAAAUACUAAAGGCCAUCGUCUGCUUUAUUCUUCAAGGUAAGACAUAAUUAAGGUUUUUUUGAUUAAGUUGCAACAUCAAAUCUCUAUCUUAUAAUUGAAAAUUAACUACAGAGGCUCUUCUAGUGCACUGGUUUGGAACAUGAAUGGGCCAAGAUUUAAAAAUUUUAAGAGCUUAUUUUUUUAAUUUCCAGGAGGUGAGAUUGGACUUGGAUCAUGAAAAGCAACUAAUGAAUACUUUAACAUAACUUUUGCAUUUUUUUUUAUCCUUUCUCCAAUUUUCUUCAGCAGGUCAAUAACUUUGGCCAUGACACAUAAGUACGAACAUUUAAGAUUCUUCUGAAUCCAUCUUUAUCAGUUGUAAUCAUCUACAUCAUUGGUUUAUACCCACCAGCCAAAUUUCACGGUCGGUGGGUAAAUUAGGCCAUAGGGUAUGCUUCACCAUGCAAUUGAACUCUCAACAAGAUUCAUAUAUGAACCAUUAAUGAUAAAAUUGUCAGUAUGACUAUAGCCGAAAGAAAUCAACUCACCACCCAAAGCAGAGUCCGUGGCUUUAGAGUGGUUAUAUUGUCAAUACCAGCUCAAAUACUUGAGGGGCAUCAACUAUCUCUACAAUGGUCAUUGCACCAAGCAAGAAAAAACGAUUCAGCAGAUGCAUGUGUCAGCUCUGAAAUAGCUAAAUCAGUUGAAGGAGCCUACAAAUGUGAAUGGCCCAAGCAUUAUUACACAAGUAUUAACAGAUAAAGGAGGAAAUAAAUAAGAAAAUGAUAAAAAAAAAAAAAGUUUUCCAUACAUAAGUCAGAUGCAUCAGCAUAAGUAGACCAUAGAAUUCCAUUAAUAAAGGGAGAUAGUCAUAGUAACCAUUUGCAGAAUUCCUAGUGAUGGUAACAAGCCACACACAAACACAAACUUUGGCUCUCCCAAUUGACCAUGGGGGUAGGUACCUAGUUUUGCUAUCUUAAUUCAUUGCUAGGAUAGUUCCUUGGAAUUGGUUUAAAUUGGAGAUGCUCCUUCCUUAAAUGGGAAGUGGGCUCCAACAUAAAUUAAAAAUAAAGGAUAUUAAAUUGCAAUGAUCACUUCAUAAAAAGACAAGCCAUUGUUCACCAAAAACAUAGACCAAUAAAACUAGUAGAUCAGGAAAUAAGUUUAGAGCCCAAGCAUCCUGUAUUUCAUUAACUCUUGAAUGAAUACCGGAUCAUGAGGCCACCACCAAUGAACAUGAGAGAAACAGGUUGAAACCUGACAUAGUACUGAAUAAAGCAUCCAAUACGCAACAGAAUUUUGUGUUUUCAUCCCAAUUUAUGAGAAUGAUAAAUAUGAUGCAAACUACAAGAAGAGGGACAGCAGAAAAACACAGUCCAAUACUAAACAUCUGAGAAUCAUUCUUACCCUAAUGCUCCUUACCACCCAUAAACUCACAGCCAUCAACAAUCUAUUCCACUUUUAUUGAAGGCUAGAAAUUCUUCAAAGAUAAUGCCUACAUAUCCUAUUACAAAAAGCAAUGCCAUAGAAAUAUGCAUUAUGAAAUUAGAUCAAAUUAAGAAAGGCUUCUGUGCAUAAUACAAGAAUAUGCAAAAUAUUGGCCAAAGAUGAAAAAAUGAUUAAAACCUACAAAGAAAGGAUUGCACAAGAAAUUAAAGAUAAACCUGGAUGUUGGUAACCCAUGAUAGGUUAAUUGCCACAGUCCCUGUUAAAGCUGCUGUGAAAACACCAAUAGUUUUCAACAAAUUAGUCUUUGGCUGGUAAGUAACUUCAAAAUCUAACGAGCUAGCUUCAUCAACUGAACAUAAAGGAUCACAAGGUCCAGAGGUUGAGGUCAGCUCCUGUUGAUAUGCAAAGGGUAUUUCAGUGUGUGGCAGAACCCAAAAAUGAAGAAACACAGACACUGCUGUUUUGCUAUGAUGGUUGGUUUUUAUAGCAAUUUGGAGAAUGCUUUCUAAACAGCCUUUUGAGUAAUCUUCCCUCAUAAAGAGGAUCAUUACUCAGCCUCAAUCCUGCCAAUGAAGGAUGAGAAACCAAGAAGAGUCAUUUGAAAAAUGUUCCUAGCCUUUAGGAUUCAGCAUUUUUUACACAAUGAGGCUACUUUCAGGACUUGAACUUGCUCAUUUGAGCCCCUCAGCCAAAAUCUUUUAUAUUACACCAGACAGUGUCUCCUAAUCAACCCUCAUAUAUCUAACUAAAUCAAUCUGAUUUCUGAGCUAAACAUCUGCAGAAGGUAAUUUCUAAUAGCAAUAGCUUGAAAUUCUAUCAAAUUAUUUGACCUCCUCAUUAACCAAGAUAAAAUCUUCAAAUGUAUGAACUAGCAGUACAGGCAAAUGGGUACCUUAAACUGGAGUACUUAUAAGCAAGACAAUAGAUGACAAAAGACACAAAAUGAAACCAAAAAACUCACACCCAAAUCAUAAAUCAAUGAACAUGCAAAUGGGUACUCGUAAAGAUAAAAUUUUUCAUAAUGGCAUAGGGAUGAAAAGAACAAAAACCUCAAGCUGCUUUUCAUUGUUGGGUUGAACUUUUUGUUGCCGUGCAAUAACUUUCGUUAUGGGGUUUACCUAGACUCAUAAUUGUUGUUAUAUUAUUACAUUAUAAUAUAAAUCAAAUUAAGAAUUUUUUUAUUGAAAGAAAAAAAGAACAAUACUAAUUUUUUUACUUGAGAUACUAUAACUAAUUGAAGGUAUGGAUCCAAUCUAUAACUAAAGUUAUAAAGGGGAUACACUCAUUUUUUUUUGGUUUCUAAGUCUAUUGCAAAUCAUUGAAAAGCUUGCAGAUCCUAACAAAAAUGUUCACCUGAUGGCUCCAGCUGCUAGUUUGUGAAAAUAAGCAAGUGAAUGCAACCAAUCUUUAAAUUUUAGCUUUCCAACAUAUGAACGUGGUGUCAUUUUCCGCAAACAAUAAGAAUGGAAAACAAAUUGAUCUUCAGUAAUAUCAGCAUAGUGCUUCUCCACAGCUAUAAAUUUCUCCAGGGCUCGUCCAAGAUCACCAUGUCGAAAGUAACUUUCAUCAGAAGCAAGUUCAUACCUUCAAAAGAUGGAUAACACUCAGUAGGUGUACCCAAAUUAUAAUUAGAGACAACGACAUGUGGAAGGUAAUAAACAAAAACAGACCACAUGCACUGCAUGUCAUGAAGGUUGGUGUGCUGGCCCCAUCUUUCGUGAACAAAACAGCAGUUUUUCCUGCCAAAGCCACCUUCAAGAGUAGAAAAAGUUUGUGAACAGUACAAUAAUACCGAAAGAAAUUUAGUGACAAAUAUUAACUAUGACAAAAGAUGAAGGGGGGAGCUUUAGAACCUGAUCAGCCUGCAACAUUCGCUUCACAGAUUCACUGUUUAUAUAGCGAUCUGCAAGAUCCAUACACCUAGCUUCAUCUGUCAAUGAAGCCACAGCUACCAAAUCACCAGCAUGUUUCAGUAUCCGACUCUGUCACCAAAGAGAAGUAAAUAAUAUACACAUAGACCCAGCUUCAAGAAAAUUCCAAGAACUUCUCCAAAAGAUAGUAAAAAGGUUCAUCAAGAAACAAUAGCCAUGUACCAAAAACCCCAAAACCUAAGAAAGGAGGUUAUAUGCCUGCCCAAUGCCCAUCAAGACUUAAGGUCCACAAAGAAAAACUAGUAUGCAUUUUAAAUGAAUGCAUAUCAACUUUGCACAAUUUAGUGCAAAAUAAUAUAUUCAAUCAAGGUCAGUAUCAUAGAAAGUGAUAAGUCUCUUACAAGUGAACGAUAACUCCAGGGCAAUAUCUAGAAAGAUUUUCAGGUAAUGCUAUGCCUUGUGAGAUGCGAGACAAACCAGGCAAAAAGAAUUCAAAAUAUAAGAAAAAAAUAAAAUAAAAGAAUCCAGCUGACAAAAAUAUAAAACCCAGCAGAUGAAGCCAUUGCAAAAAUUUGAAGAUUGAAGACGAGAACAAACCUUGACAGAGUAUAUAUCAAUUACAGUUGGUGUGUGCUCUAUGGCCUCAUUAAUUUUUGAAAGAGCAACGUCAUAUUGUCCUCUUCUGUCAUAAUGCUGCAUCAAUAAAUUCAAAGUUACUCAAAUGCAAAGAAAGCACCAAAUAUUUAUAGCAAGAAAAGAAGAAAAGGCCAUGGCCCAUGGGGUGAGGAAACCUGAUGGUUACCCACCUAAGCCAAAAAGAAUAAAAUCCAUAAAAGUGUUGAAGGGGGCUCUUUCACUGUCCUGCACUCAAUAUGAAACACAAGCAAGAAAUGACUCAGCAUAAUACCAAAUGCGUGCUUGUGUAUUAGCAUACAAACAAAAACAUAGAAACUUCACAUGCAACCAUAUGGGACAACCAUUAUGUACUUGUUUAAUAGAUAACAACACAUAAAUGACUGAGGACUUCACCAAACAAUAAGCAGUAAAAGAUAAACAUGCAAUCAGACCAUACCCAAUAUCUAAACAUUUGGACACUGUUAAGACUUACUAGAAUAUCACAUAAGGGCUGAAAGUCUAUAUUACCUCAAAAAGUAGUAAAUCUAAACAUUUAUUUGCUUUUAAGACUUACUAAAAUAUUACGCAAGGGUUUAAAGCAUAUACUACCUAUCAGGGUAUCUGCCGGCGGUCCUAAUUGAAUGCUCCAACUCAAAAAUUAGUUGUUCCAAUAUGUCUGCCUGUAUAAGUGUCAACAAAGCAGGUAAUCAAUCCUAAUGAAAUCAAGCUCCAAUCAGUUGCUAAGCAGUUUAGGAGAAUCAAUAUUUAGAAACUUAAUUCUAUUUUUAGAAUAUGUAAGUAAGAAAACUUACCUUUCUAGGGUGACCGUACAAGGGAGAAAGGUCUGAAAUAAAGAUGGAACCCCCUGAGGCCACAGAAAAAAUAUAUCAUUAUUUCACCCAACAAACUAAAAAACACCAGUCAAACUAAUAAAAAAAAAAAAUCUCACUUGGAUAUAAAGGUUAGAAGAGGCUUAAUGUAAUCAAUUGCCACUUUACGAAAUUUGUUUCCUUGCAGUAAAUCAAGUGGUAUCCUCUAAAAAUUGAGAAAACAAAGUUCUAAUAUAAGUCCUAGAACAUUCAUCACAUAUCAUAAAGGAAGUAGCAUUUAUUGGCAAUAAUGAUGCACAUUGUAACAGCAAUAAUUACAAUUCUCAUGAAUGAAUACAUAACAAAUGUGGGUUACAGGAAGAAAACAAUUUAAAUACAUCCUCACUGCAUGAGUCAAAUCCCAAAAGCUCUAGAGUUUGACACUUUAUUUCAAUCAUGCCGUAACCUGGCCCACCGUCAAAAGGUUUUUAUAUAGGAAAGUCAGUUUAACUAAAAGAAUGAGAUAAAGAUAGCCACUAAUAAAAGAAUUAGCCACCAUGUCAACUCUCUAGGGGUGAAGCAUAUGAAAGCAUAAUUUUAACCACCUAGAGUUCUUACUAUUGUCACAUCAAGACAUCAAUGAAGUAUUUCAGCAUAAUACCACAACUAUCUAUUUCUAGAUUAUCUAAAAAUAUCACAAGCCAUCGAAUGGACUGUGUCUAUUGUAGAAGCACAUCACUAGAUUUUUGUCACAUAAUUUCUUAUCAAGCCAUCAAGAAAAACAAUAUCCCUACAAGAGUAUUUGUAAAAAUUGCCGCCCCUCCUCUCUCCAAAAAAGGGGAGAAAGCUUGAUAGCUCUACAAAAAAGUAAGGUUUUCGUUGGAUUUGCAUCAUGUGAUUCUAUAAAUAAGAGAGAGAAGAAAUCCAGAGUAAAUAUAAUGAACAGAACAUCCCAAGGUACCAUUUGGAGCUCAUUAAAAAAAAAUACCAAACAGAAAAUCAAAUUAAUAUGACUAACAGCUAAGACAUAAUAAAAUAGCUUACACUAGCAACAUCAUUAUCUACAGUCUAUAACGAGAACACAUUUUAUCAUCAGAAAAAAAUAAAAAAAAAAUCAAAUCGGGCAUUAUUUGAAGUAAAAAAAUUUAAAUAAAAUUAAGAUGGUAGAAAUCAACCCUUCAGAAGGUCUCCAAAUUCCUCACACAUUCCAAUUUGUCCUUCACCAACUAAUUCUCUACUUUGUUUGGAUUGACCAAUGGCCGAGAAAAAUUCUUUCACCUCAAAGGAAUUAAUUUCCCUCUUAUAAGAUCAAGAACCCUAAUUUCCCAACCUAAUCUUGAUGCCCAAUCUCAAGGAAAGUUGAAUUGACUCAUUACUUGCUUGAUGUCGAUAUUAUUGACAAUAAUCUAUAUUUCAAGCCGAACGGGAAUCCAAAACGAAAAACCUAAAUUUGAGAGAAAGAAAAUUGAAAUGAUAGAAGAAUGGCUGAAGACAGUGGGUUUUAAAUUUAAAAUGCCAAAAAAUCUAACCAUCGAAACUUAACCAAUUAAAUUUUAAAUUAAAAAUUGACUUUUUUGUAUUUAAAAUAAACGUAGUGACUAAAUGAAAAACAUAUUUGAUGAAAAUCAGCUCUGCUUCUUUUAUAUAAAUGAAAAAAAAAAAAUACACUUCAGAAGAAAAAAAAAGGAAAAUAGAAAGAAUGGAGGAGCCCCAUCAAUUUUAAAAGAAAUUUCAUUUUUCUAAAGAAAACAAAGUUGAGGAAGAAUGGAGGAUGCGGAUGUUAGCAAAAGCAAUUCUAAAUUAAAAUCUAAAUUACCCCCACACCAAACUUUAACCAAAUGCCCAGCCAAGCCAAAGCUUAAAAGUUGCAAGGAUGACUAGUGAGAAGGAAUAGUAUCGUUUCUCAAAAUUGGCCAAAAGGAUGGUGAAAGACUAAUAAAUAUCUGCAAUUACAAAAAAACCCUCACCAAUUCACCAAAAAAAAAAAAAGAGCUUAUCAUUUUAUUUGGUGGUUUAGAAAUUUAGACUUUUCUCAAAAUAAAAGGAGGACCCUCCCCUUCUCAUUAGUCCUAUUCCCAAAGACACGUGGUGGUGUUUAUGAUUGCAUGGGUCAACCAUCACUGCACCCCAUGAUAAGCUUCUAAAACAUUGUUGAUAACUAUAUUAUCAAGGAGAAAAUUAGCAAAAUCAUGAACGAAAAAGUGAAAUAAUGAAUCAAUUGAGAAGAAAACCGAGUUAAAUAUAUCAAAUCUUUUUUGAAGACAUUUUGUGUUCUUAGAUUCUCUUUAUAUUAUGACGUUUUUAUUUUAUUAUAUUUUUUUGUAAAAAAAUUUUAAAAUAAGAGAAGUUAUCUUAUUUUUAAAAAUUAAUAAAUUAUUUAUUAAUAAAAAAUCAUUAAAGAUUUGAAUCUGAUUAUCAUAAAUCUAGAUACUUUACAUCUAAAUCUUAAACUUUAAUUAUUUGCACCAAUCUCUAUUGACUUACUUGAUUAUAGUUAGUAAAAGAAAAACUCAAUAAAAAACUGAAAGAAAGAAAAGAAGGUUCAACGAUAUGUUGAUAAAAUUGUACAUGGAAACUAGCAAGGAGAAAUUAAAUUUUAAAAAACUUGUGGUGCGAGAUCCUUUGGGAUAAUUAUUAUUUCAAAUAAUAUGUAAUUUAAUUAAAUUUUAAUUUAGUCAAAUUUUUAAAAUUAUAAAUUUGAAAAUAUUUUAAAUGUUUAAUUUUUUUUUCAUACAAAUUAAAUUAAUAAAUUAAAAUUUUAAAAAUUAAUCACUUAGAUUUUUUUUUUUUCGAGGUUUUUUUAAAGAAUAUUCCAAAGCUUAAAAAUUGGGAUUUCAUGCUUUUCCAUAAUCGUUGGGUUUGAGGAGAUAAAAUUAUAAAUAUACGGAAACACUUCUUUUGGUUUCUUAUAAAAUUAUAUACCAUUAAAAAUUAUAAUUAUAAUUAUAAUCAAAUAACUUUUAAUGUAUUAAAAAAAUUAACAAAUCAAAAUAUAAUAUGACAAAAUUCAAAUUUGAUUGGUUAAAAAAAUUUUAAAAAUCUAAUAAUUAACAAUUACUCAAACAAAAAAAAUUAAGUGUUUAACAAUUUAAUCAUCCAAUUACAUAUAAUACUUAUUAUUUAAUACUUUUUCAUUAUGUUUAAUAUAUAAAAUAAUAGAUAAGACAUAAUAAUUUUAUAUUAUAUUUGAUUUAUAUCUAAUUAAUCCUCUUGAUAUAUAAUGAUUCAAUUUUUCGAAAAUAAAAAUAACUAUUUUUUAUUUACGAUAUUAAACUUAUAUGUUCUAUUAUAACUUUAAAAAUUAUAUUAAUAAUUUAAAUUAUAUAAAUUUUAAAGAAAAAUAAUUUUAUGUAGCAUCUCAACAAGAUUUGGUUAACCUUUUUCAACUAAUAAUAAAAUUUUAUAAUCCAAUCAAAAUCCACUUUUUGUUACUAAUUAUCAACCUUUCCUCUAUAAUAAAAUUCAAACAGCAAACCAUAAGAGACGAGACUUAGAACAACAAAACUGGGAAUUUUUGAUAGCCACUCUUGUCAGCUCCAUAGCAAAAUUUUCCACAUUAUGUAGUGUUUAUAAAUGGCAACUAAUAAAAGGGGCGAAGUACAACAUGCUCCAAAGGCAAAGAUUAGCUCUAAAACAGUGUUCUUCCCAUGCUGACCAGAAGAUUUCAUCAGCAGUACCCAAAAAUUUUCUAUAGCGCCUCAAAUUUUGGGGCAAAACUAUGGAGCCAGAUAUCUCUAAAGAUCUCAACCAAAUGGUAAGCAAAUUAAAAGAAUAUAUAUAUAUAUAUAUAUAUCAACCCUAAAAUCAUAAAUGUGGAUAAAUUAUACACAUUUGCAAAGGAAUGCAUUUCACGAUUAGAAAAGCAGCGAAAAUUUUGAUCUCAAAGCAACAGAAGAAAGCAUUGUCAUGGCUUGCACAACUUCAAGAUGCUCCUUUUUUCCGCCUGCUGUAAAGCACUCUUUCAAAUUGUCUACAUAAUUUUACUUCAAUUGUCUAAUAAGCUAUUAAUAAAGAGGGUCUAAACAAAGAAUAAACAAUCAUUUCUUGAAUAAUUUUGUCACAUAGCUUGCAACUUCAAUUAAAUAAACAUCAAUAAGAAAGUGAGAAAAUUAUUAUCAUGAAAGUCCACCUUUCUUUAAAAUGCCAAUAAUAAUCACAGCAUCCAACUUUCAAAGAUUAAGCAUCAUAAUAACAAAAACCAACAAGCAAUCAGAACUCGUGAGAUACAUCUCAAAAAAAUCACUGAAUGAUGUUGAAACCAUAAAUUUAAAAAUCCUAAUUUAAUGUUUUAUUUUUAGGCAUCUAAUCUAUAAUAUUCAAUUAACAGUAUAUCAAAAUUUCAAUACCAUUAAUAUUCUUACUAAAAUACUUUCUAAACAAACAACAGUAAUUAAUUUCAUUAGUUGUUAAUGGAGUCAAAGUCAAAUUUCUAGUCAGCAUCAAUUUAUGUGGAGAAUUAUACUUACUCAAAGUAGCAUCUCGGUCAAUAAGAACCUUUUCUAAGAGUUUAUGGGCUGCAAUACAGUCCUUGAGUUUCCACGCCAGUACUGGUCCAAGUGCCCCAUUCCUGGACAAGCAAAAGAGAAAGAAACAAUUAAUCUCAAGAGUAAGUUGCAAUGCAUGGAAUCGACAUCAAACAGCAAAAAUUUUAAUGUACACUAAGAGCAUUACAUUGGCAUGACUUUAUUGCAUGAAUCUUCAAUUAACUUAACAGCCUCAAGUUUCUUGGUGUGCUCCAAGGUAUAUAACAUUUCUGCAACUGCCACUAUAUGCAUCAAAGAUUCUGCAGAACCAAAAAGUGAAAAUUGCAUGAUUAUACAACCUACCUCAAGGAACCUAAAAUGCAUCAUGUUAUGCAAAGGUCAUAAUACCUUCAUGUUUACCAAGGAAAACUUUGUUCGCCUCACUAAGAGUUUUCUCCUGCAAUUGACUGCGGAAAGAGAACAUAAAGGGAUUUAAUGCAUCAGGGAUCAAAAUAAUAAUAGUAGCAGUAAUACAACAAAAUUCUAGUAGGGGGAAUAGCUAUCAUAAAGCCAUUUCAAAGAGAACCUGAUGGAUGGACGCUCAGCUUCUAAGACACUCCAAACAAGUUUUUCAGCAUCAGUUAAUGGAGCAGGCAUUGAGCCCAAUUUAUGGAAAAAUUUAAUCUGCAUUAGAUUAAAUUCAAAUAAGCAUUGUAAAGAUUACAUGAUCUUUGUAUCUAAGAACAGAAAAGAAUGCAGUUGUGCAUGGCAGUGCACAAAUAUGGUAGGGCAGAUGUUACAUACCAAGCAGCGAUGUGAAUCUGGAUUCUCAGCAUCCAGCCUUUGCAGUUGCUUUACAGCCUUCAGGAAAACAAAAUAAAACCAAGACAAACCUACUAAUAUGAGCUCAUGAAAUGGUAAAAGUACUACUGCACAAAACCAUUGUUCUACAACUCAAAGAUAUGUCGUGCACACUAUCUAAUUCACACAUAAAUUCAUUGAGUGAGUAGAGUAAUAAGAAAAAGAUGUUUGGUUAAAAGGUAUAGUUUCUUUACUUCAAGAACAUAUCCACAGGCAGCAAGUGAAAAAAGAGAGGAGAAAACAAGAGAAGGGGCUUCCUCACAAACCACUAGCUGACAAUUAAAUAUUAGUUCUGGUUGCUUCAAGAACAUAUCCACAGGCAGCAAGUGAAAAAAGAGAGGAGAAAACAAGAGAAGGGGCUUCCUCACAAACCACCAGCUGACAAUUAAAUAUCAGUUCUAGUUGACCAAACACAAAAAGAACAAGCAACACAUCUCAUGUUCAAUUCUUGGAAAAUAUAAUACCUGAAAGGCAGGUAAAAUCUUCUGCUUUCUCAUAUUUACUUCAAAAGAAAGUAAGUGCGUCUCCAAAGAAUCAGGUGAGUUCUUCUGAAGCAACUUCAAGUACUUCGUUGCUUCGGACAAGGGAUACUCUGUCUGAAAAAAAAAUACAGAUUAAACAGUCUUAGCUUAAUAGGCAUUAGCGUAACACAUUUUUACAGCACGAGGACUUUAAUCAGGAAUCUAAAGCACAGGGAAAAGAUAAUAAUAGGUAACCUUCAAUAAUUUUUCUCCAAAAGGAUCGAGAUCUACAGGUUUAACAUGUUGUUUCCCAGACUUAGACAUGCCACUAGAACUUGAUUCUUCAUUUUUCUCCUCUGCCUCCUAAAAUAAUACACAGCAUCAGAAUGAAAUCAUCAAAGAGAGUGUUAGCCAAGAAUCACCAAAACAAGCUGAUAUACUUUCUUAGCUCGUUCCGCCUUCCUCUGCUUCUUCAUUUUCUUUUUCUGAGAAGGAGUCUUUGAUGUGUCAUCCUCUUCUUCAUACAGUGAGUUCAAAGGAGAAUCAAACAACUUUAGAUAGCAUCUGCACUUCAAAAUCCAAUAAUUAUCACAAUGCAGAAAGAAAAGGUUCAAAAUUGAAGUAAUCACCAGUUUCAAGCCAAGAGUUUCAGAGAAAGAAACACCAGCGUAGAAAUGGGACAAUGGAUCAAUCACAAAAACUAUUACUUAAUUGUUGCAUGGCCUGUCACUAUAUCAUCCCAUUCCAUUUCACCAUCAAAUCAAUAAGAUCAAUAUAAAAAGCUAUAAUCAACAAAUAAAUUCUGGUACAGUAACAUGCAAUUCUCCAUCCUUAACCCAACAGAAAUCCCAGGCGCCGCCUUCCUAUCAUUUAAAAAGCCACAAUCUCAAAUUUCAAUAUGCCCGCAAGGAACAUUUAAUCCUUUCAGUAAUAACAUCACGAGAAUAUGAACUUACAAAAGAUAUAACGAAAGCAAAUUGAGACUACCAAGCAAAAUUUUUAUCCUGUUUGGCAUAUACCACAAGGUCUCGACAUAAUAAGAAUCCCCUAAGUACAACAUAAAACACCAUCCUAACUAUGAAACAAGUAUAUAACCUUAUAAAAAUCAGAAACUAUAAUCUAGAAUACUUGUUAAAUUAAAUUUGACUUGAGCAUCAUUUGAACACAAAUUUUUUAAGCAGAUCCAAAUAUUUGCAUCUUCUUUUAAUAGUUAAUAAUUUGUGGGAGAGCAUUUGAACUGUAGGGCAAGAGGAGUUAUUGCAACUAAGGUAUGUGUAAAGCCAAAAAAAAAAAAAAAAUUGCUUUAUAAUAUAACAUAAUUGGCUUAUUAAUAGCAUUUGUUUCUGUAUGGUAAGGAUAGACAUGUAUCCACAGUUGAAAAUUCGUUAAUGGUACAUUUUCCUAUAUAUUAUGUAUGUGGUCCAUCAGGUAUAUAAAACAAAGAGACGGGGCACAAGGAUUGUCUUACAUAGCAUUCUGAUACAUAAUACUAAUUUAAUCACAUACAUAUCAAUUAGAUCAACAAAUGAAUCAACAACAGCCUCUUAUUUGAACUCUAAAACUCUCUUUUGUAUUCCUAUACAAAUGAAAUUGAAAAACAGAUUGAUUAACAUUAUUUGAAAAAAUCACAAAGUUCAUAACGAACUUAAAAUCAUUGUGCAUAUCAAAAUGACUAGUAUUAUUAUUACUCAUUAUUAAAAUUCACAUUCAAAAAGAAGAGAGAAAAUUUUGUUUUAUGAUAAAAAAAUUCAUUCAUGGAUCUCAGUUAAUUUUCAAGGGGAGAAAAAAGAAAACAAGGAGUCCAUUGAAUUUCAACUAAUUAGUUUCACAAAUAAGAUACAAAGAUUUACCUCAAAUUAGGAAUUGCACAAAAAAGUUGUNNNNNNNNNNNNNNNNNNNNNNNNNNNNNNNNNNNNNNNNNNNNNNNNNNNNNNNNNNNNNNNNNNNNNNNNNNNNNNNNNNNNNNNNNNNNNNNNNNNNNNNNNNNNNNNNNNNNNNNNNNNNNNNNNNNNNNNNNNNNNNNNNNNNNNNNNNNNNNNNNNNNNNNNNNNNNNNNNNNNNNNNNNNNNNNNNNNNNNNNNNNNNNNNNNNNNNNNNNNNNNNNNNNNNNNNNNNNNNNNNNNNNNNNNNNNNNNNNNNNNNNNNNNNNNNNNNNNNNNNNNNNNNNNNNNNNNNNNNNNNNNNNNNNNNNNNNNNNNNNNNNNNNNNNNNNNNNNNNNNNNNNNNNNNNNNNNNNNNNNNNNNNNNNNNNNNNNNNNNNNNNNNNNNNNNNNNNNNNNNNNNNNNNNNNNNNNNNNNNNNNNNNNNNNNNNNNNNNNNNNNNNNNNNNNNNNNNNNNNNNNNNNNNNNNNNNNNNNNNNNNNNNNNNNNNNNNNNNNNNNNNNNNNNNNNNNNNNNNNNNNNNNNNNNNNNNNNNNNNNNNNNNNNNNNNNNNNNNNNNNNNNNNNNNNNNNNNNNNNNNNNNNNNNNNNNNNNNNNNNNNNNNNNNNNNNNNNNNNNNNNNNNNNNNNNNNNNNNNNNNNNNNNNNNNNNNNNNNNNNNNNNNNNNNNNNNNNNNNNNNNNNNNNNNNNNNNNNNNNNNNNNNNNNNNNNNNNNNNNNNNNNNNNNNNNNNNNNNNNNNNNNNNNNNNNNNNNNNNNNNNNNNNNNNNNNNNNNNNNNNNNNNNNNNNNNNNNNNNNNNNNNNNNNNNNNNNNNNNNNNNNNNNNNNNNNNNNNNNNNNNNNNNNNNNNNNNNNNNNNNNNNNNNNNNNNNNNNNNNNNNNNNNNNNNNNNNNNNNNNNNNNNNNNNNNNNNNNNNNNNNNNNNNNNNNNNNNNNNNNNNNNNNNNNNNNNNNNNNNNNNNNNNNNNNNNNNNNNNNNNNNNNNNNNNNNNNNNNNNNAAUUGUUAUAUCUAUCACUAGUUAUUUUAUGUAUAUAUAUUUGUACAUUUUUAAUGAUUUAAAAAUUAAAAAUUUUAAAUUUAAAUCAAUAAAUUCAAAUCAAAAUAUUUUGCAUUUAAACUUUCAAAUUCAAAUUAAGUUUUAAAACAUAAAUUAAAGAUUGAAUUUUGUAGAAUUUUUUUUAUUUCUUUAUUUACUUUCUUUUUCUUUUCUUUUUUAUUUUCAUUCAUUUUUUUUUUUUUACAGAAUACUUUCUUACUUUUUUUUAUUACUUUUUCACUACAUAUUUUUCUUUUUACUUUGAUUUUUUCAUUAUUUCAAUUUAAUUGUUCAUUUACAUUAUUUUUUAUUAGUUUUUUUCUUUUUGUACUUUCUUAACUUUUUAUCUUUAUUUUUUUUCAUUUUAUUUUUUCUUAAGGUUUUGCUUUUUUUUUUUUAGUUUUUUUUUGUUGGCAUUUCUUUCUAAUUUGUGUUUUUUUUUUCCACACUUUCUUCUUUUGUUUUUAUUUUUUAUUUUGUUAUUAACUUUUAUUUCUUCUUUUAAUUUUUUAUCGUUUGAUUUUUAUUAUAUUUAUUUCUUCCAACUUAUUUCUUAAUACUUUUUUUAUUUUUUGUUUGUAUUUAUAAAAACUAAAUUUUUUUUAUUUUCCUCAUUUUAAUUAGUUUUUGUAUUUUUUAAUUUUUUCUUUGACAUUUUUUCAUUUCCUUACUUUUCUAUUUUUUUUUAUUGUGUUUUUGUUUAUUUUUAAUUUUCCUCUUUUUUGGUACUUUAUUUUACCUUUUUCCUUUUUGCUUUAAUUAUUUUCUCUUAUUUUAUUUCAUUUUUUUAUACAAAAUUUUAUGGUGUUUGAAUACUUUACUUUAUUUUUAAUCUUUAUUCUUUGGUUUGUCUCAUUUUUAUUGUCAUUUUUUAUUUUUUUAUUUUUUUGCUAAUUUUUUAUUCUAUUUUUAUAAAUUUUUCAUUAAUUUUUUUAUUUUUAAAUUGUUUUUUUUCUUUUAAUUUAUUUGUUUCUUUGCUUUCAUUUUUAAUUUUUUUUUUAUAUAUUUUGUAUUUUGGAAAUUUAUUUUUUUCUUGCUUUUUCUUAUAUUUUUUGUUGUUCACAUUUUUUUUUAUUUUUUUUUUGGCAAUUUAGAAAUUUAGAUUUUUUUUUGCUGCAGCUUCUUUUCAUUUUUAUUUAUAUUUUCUAUUGGACUUUUCUUUUAUUUUUUAUCUUGAUUUUUUAGAUCUUUUUUUUUUUUAUAUUUGUUAUAUAUUUUUCUUGUUUUUGCUUUGGAUAUUCUAAACUAAGUUUUUUUUUUAUUUUAACUAUUGAAAUUUUAUUCAUUGUCUAUUAUAUUUUUUUUUAUUCAUUAAUUUAAGACCUUUUGAAGCAAAUAAAGCGUGGAAAAAUUAAAACUGUGGCAAAUGAUUUUUAUAUCACAAUAUAAAAUGUGCACUAGGGUUUUAUGCCGUAAUUGUUUAGAAACGAAAUUUUGAUAUUUUUAACCUUGCAAAAUAUUUUAGGAUUUACAAUUUAACAGUAGUGAAAAAUUAAAACAAUGCAGAUUAUCAUGUUUUUGUGUUUGAGUGAGUUUAAAAUUAUUAAUUUUCAUUUAAAAAUUGUUAAAAACAAUAUUUCAUACUUUUAAAGCUCGAUUUCAAUAGAAAUUAUUUUUAAAGCAAAACAUAAAAGCUUCAAAAACGUUGAGCUUUGAGUUUGGUGUAAUGUAUAAAAAUAAGUUAGCAAAUAGCUAAAUCUCAUCAAGUGCCAAUAAUGAUUUCAAAAAAUGACAUCCAAAUAAUCAACAGCAUCUCACAAAUUCCUUGGAGCACUUAUGAAUUCUUUUAAAAAUGCAUAUAAAGGCAAAUAAGUAUGAAAAAUCAAAAAUCGUGCAAAUUGGUUUUUAAUCACAAUUUGAAAUUGUGCAUAUGGUUUUUAUGCUCAUAAUUGUUUAGAAAUGAAAUUUUGAUAUUUUCAGCUCCAAAAUCUUUCAUGACUUACGUUUAAUAUUGUGAAAAAUUAAAAUCAAUGUAACGUAUUAUUUUUUUGUUGUUUUAGUGAGUUUAAAACUAUUCAUUUUCAUUUUAAAACUUAUUAAAAUAAUAUUUCAUACUUUUAAAGCUCGACUCCAGCAUAAAUGAUUUUCAAAGUAAAACGUUAAAACUUCAUAAGCGUCGAGCUUUGAAUUUGUGCGUAAUGUAUAAAGCAAGUUAGCACACAAUUAAUUGUAUCAAGCGCUAAUAACAAUUUCACAAAUGAUAUCCAAAUAUCAAUAGCAUCUCAUAAAUUUUUUGGAGCACUCAUGAAUUCUCUUAAAAAUGCAUCUAAAGCAAAUGAGCAUGAAAAAGUAAAAAUCAUGCAAAUGGUUUUUAUAUCACAAUUUGAAAUUGUGCAGAUAGUUUUUACGUCCAUAAUUGUUCAAAAGCGAAAAUUUGAUAUUCUCAGCUCCAAAACCUUUCAUGACUUACACUUAACACCGUAAAAAUUUAAAUCAAUAUAGGUUAUCAUGUUUCUGUGUUUGAGCGAGUUUAAAAUUAUUCAUUUUCAUUUAAAAACUUGCUAAAACAACAUUUCAUACUUUUAAAGUUCGACUCCAGCAGAAAUGGUUUUCAAAGCAAAACAUAAAAGCUUCAAAAGCAUCGAGCUUUGAGUUUGUGCGUAAUGUAUAAAAACAAGUUAGUAACACAUUUAAUCGCAUCAAGGCCAAUAACGAUUUCACAAAUGACAUUCAAAUAUCAACAGCGUCUCACAAAUUUCCUAAAGCACUUAUGAAUUCUUCUAAAAGUGCCUCUAGAGCAAAUAAGCAUGAAAAAUAAAAAUCGUGCAAAUGGUUUUUAUAUCACAAUUUGAAAUUGUGGAGAUGGUUUUUAUGUCCAUAAUUGUUCAUAAACAAAAUUUUGAUAUUUUCAGCUCCAAAAUCCUUCAUAAGUUAUACUUAACACUGUAAAAAUUAAAAUCAGUGCAGGUUAUCAUGCUUCUGUGUUUGAGCCAGUUUAAAAUUAUUAAUUUUCAUUUAAAAACUUUUUAAAACAAUAUUUCAUCCUUUUAAAGCUCGACUCCAAUAGAAAUGGUUUUCAAAGCAAAACAUAAAAGUUUCAAAAGCGUUGAACUAUGAGUUUGUGCGUAAUGUAUAAAAAUAAAUUAGCACAUAGUUUAAUCGCAACAAGCGCUAGUAACGAUUUCAAAAAUGAUAUCCAAAUAUCAAUAGCAUCUCAUAAAUUUUUUGGAGCACCCAUGAAUUCUCUUGAAAAUGCAUAUAAUAGAGCAAAUUCGCAUAAAAAAAUUAAAAUUGUGCAAAUGGUUUUUAUAUCGCAAUAUAAAAUUGUGCAGAUCGUUUUUAUGCCCGUAACUUUUUAGAAACAAAAUUUUGAUUUUUCAACUCCAAAAUCCUUAAUGACUUACAUAUAACACAGUGAAAAAUUAAAACAAAUGUAGGUUAUCACGUUUUCAUGUUUAAAACUAUUCAUUUUCAUUUAGAAACUUCCUAAAAUAACAUUUCAUACUUUUAUUGCUAGACUCCAGCAGAAAUGGUUUUCAAAGCAAAAGGUCGAGCUUUGAGUUUGUGCAUAAUGUAUAAAAACAAGUUAAUCACAUCAAGUGCCAAUAAAGAUUUCACAAAUGACACCAAAUAUCAAUAGCAUCCCACAAAUUCCUUGGAGCACCCAUGAAUUCUCUUAAAAAUGCAUCUACAGCAAAUAAGCAUGAAAAAUUAAACCAGCAAAAAUGGUUCUCAAAGCAAAACAUAAAACCUUCAAAAGCAUCGAGCUUUGUGUUUGAGUGUAAUAUAUAAAAACAAGUUAGCACACAAUUAAUCGCAUCAAGCGCCAAAUAACAAUUUCACAAAUGACAUCCAAAUAUCAACAGCAUCCCACAAAUUCCCUAGAGCACCCAUGAAUUCUCCUAAAUAUGCAUCUAAAGCAAAUAAGCAUGAAAAAUUAAAACUGUGCAAAUGAUUUUUAUAUCACAAUUUGAAAUUGAGCAAAUGGUUUUUAUAAACAUAAUUGUUCAGAAACGAAAUUUUGAUAUUUUCAUCUCCAAAAUCCUUCAUGACAUACACUUAACACCAUGUAAAUUUAAAACCAAUGCAGGUUAUCAUCUUUAUGUGUUUGAGCGAGUUUAGAACUAUUCAGUUCCAUUUAGAAACUUGCUAAAACAACAUUUCAUACGCUUAAAGCUUGACUCCAACAGAAAUGGUUUUCAAAGCUGAACAUCGAGCUUUGAGUUUGUGCGUAAUGUAUAAAAACAAGUUAGCACAUAGUUAAUCGCAUCAAGCGCCAAUAACAAUUUCACAAAUGACAUCCAAAUAUCAACAGCAUCCCACAAAUUCCCUAGAGCACACAUUAAUUUUCCUAAAAAGGAAUCUAAAGCAAAAAGGCGUGGAAAAUUAAAACCGUGUAAAUGGUUUUUAUAUCACAAUUUGAAAUUGUGCAGAUGAUUUUUAUUCCCAAAAUUGUUCAAAAAGAAAAUUUUGAUAUUUUCAACUCUAAAAUCCCUCAGGACUUACACUUAACACUGUGAAAAUUUAAAACCAAUGCAGGUCGUCAUGUUUAUGUGUUUGAGCGAGAUUAAAAUGAUUCAUUUCCAUUUAAAAACUUGCUAAAACAACAUUUGUUACUUUUAAAGCUUGACUCCAGCAGAAAUGGUUUUCAAAGCAAUACUAAUACUUCGAGCUUUGAGUUUGUGUGUAAUGUAUAAAAAAAAAGUUAGCACACAGUUAAUCACAUCAAGUGCGAAUAACGAUUUCACAAAUGACAUCCAAAUAUCAACAGAAUCACACAAAUUCCCUUGAACAACCAUGAAUUCCCCAAAAAAUGCAUAGAAAGCAAAUAAGCAUAAAAAAUUAAAACUGUGCAAAUGAUUUUUAUAUCACAAUUUGAGAUAUUGCAACAAGUUUUUAUGCCCAUAACUGUUCAGAAACGAAAUUUUCAUAUUUUCAGCUCCAAAAUCCUUCAUGACUUACACUUAACAACACUGCUGAAAAUUUAAAACCAAUGCAGGUUAUCAUGUUUAUGUGUUUGAGUGAGUUUAAAACUAUUCAUUUUCAUUUAAAAACUUUCUAAAACAACACUUCUUGCUUUUAAAGCUUAACUCCAGCAUAAAUGGUUUUCAAAGCAAAAUGUUGAGCUUUCAAUUUGUGCGUAAUGUAUAAAAACAAGUUAGCACACAGUUAAUAGCAUCAAGCGCCAAAAACGAUUUCACAAAUGACAUCCAAAUAUCAACAGCAUCCCUCAAAUUCCCUGGAGCACUCGUGAAUUUGCCUAACAAUGCCUCGAAAGCAAAAAAGCAAGAAAAUUAGAACCAUGCAAAUGGUUUUUAUAUCAAAUUUUGAAAUUGUGCAUAUGGUUUUUAUGCCCAUAGUUGUUUAGAAACGAAAUUUUGAUAUUUUCAGCCCCAAAAUCCUUCAUGAAUUACACCUAACACUGUAAAAAUUUAAAUGCACUGCAGGUUAUCAUGUUUCUGUGUUUCAGCGAGUUUAAAAACUUGCUAAAACAACAUUUCACACUUUUAAAGCUAGACUCCAGCAGAAAUGGUUUUCAAAGCAGAACAUUGAGGUUUGAGGUUGUGCAUAAUGUAUAAAAACAAGUUAACACACAGUUAAUCACAUCAAGCACCAAUAACAAUUUCACAAAUGACAUUGAAAUAUUAACAGCAUCCCACAAAUUCCCUGGAGCACCCAUGAAAUCCCCAAAAAAUGCAUCUAAAGCAAAUAAGCAUGAAAAAUUAAAACCGUGCAAAUGAUUUUUAUAUCACAAUUUGAAAUUGAGCAGAUGGUUUUUAUCGACAUAAUUGUUCAGAAACGAAAUUUUGAUAAUUUCAUCUCCAAAAUCCUUCAUGACAUACAGUUAACACCGUGAAAAUUUGAAACCAAUGCAGGUUUAUCAUCUUUCUGUGUUUGAGCGAGUUUAAAACUAUUCAUUUCCAUUUAAAAACUUGCUAAAUCAACAUUUCAUACUUUUAAAGCUCGAUUCCAGCAGAAAUGGUUUUUAAAGCAGAACGUUGAGCUUUGAGUUUGUGCGUAAUAUAUAAAAACAAGUUAGCACACAGUGAAUCGCAUCAAGCGCCAAUAACAAUUUCACAAAUGACAUCCAAAUAUCAACAGCUUCCCACAAAUUCCCUAGAGUAUCCACGAAUUCCCCUAAAAAUGCAUCUAGAGCAAAUAAGCAUGAAAAAUUAAAACCGUGCAAAUGGUUUUUAUAUCGCAAUUUGAAAUUUUGCAGAUGGUUUUUAUGCCCAUAAUUGUUCAGAAAUGAAAAUUUUGAUAUUUUCAGCUCCAAAAUCCUUCAUGACUUGCACCUAACACCGUGGAAAUUUAAAACCAAUGCAGGUUAUCAUGUUUAUGGGUUUGAGCGAGAUUAAAACUAUUCAUUUAUAUUUAAAAACUUGCUAAAACAUCAUUUCUUACUUUUAAAGUUUGACUCCAGCAAAAAUGGUUUUCAAAGCAAAACAUAAAAGCUUCAAAAGCGUCGAGCUUUUGUGUUUAGCAUAAUGUACAAAAACAAGUUAGCACACAGUUAAUCGCAUCAAGUGCCAAUACAGAUUUAACAAAUGACAUCCAAAUAUCAAUAGCAUCCCAAAAAUUUGAUGGAGCAUCCAUGAAUUCUCCUAAAAAUGCAUCUAAAGGAAAUAAGCAUGAAAAAUAAAAACUAGGCAAGUGGUUUUUAUAUAACAAUUUGAGAUUGUGCAGAUGGUUUUUAUGCCCAUAAUUGUUCAAAAACGAAAUUUUGAUAUUUUCAGCUCCAAAAUCCUUCAUGACUUACACCUAACACUGUGAAAAUUUAAAACCAAUGCAGGUUAUCAUGUUUAUGUGUUUGAGUGAGAUUAAAACUAUUCAUUUCCAUUUAACUGCUAUUGAUAUCAUGGCACUUACUUUUAAAGCUUGACUUUGGCAAAAAUUGUUUUCAAAGCAAAACAUAAAUCUUUGAAAGCGUCAAGCUUUGUGUUUGAGGAUAAUGUAUAAAAACAACUUAGCACACAGUUAAUCGCAUCAAGUGCCAAUAACAAUUUCACAAAUUACAUCCAAAUAUCGACAACAUCCCACAAAUUCCCUGGAGCAACCAUGAAUUCUCCUAAAAAUACAUCUAAAACAAAUAAGCUUGAAAAAUAAAAACCAUGCAAAUGAUAUUUUUUAUCACAAUUUGGAACAGAUGGUUUUUAUACACAUAAUUGUUUAGAAACGAAAUUUUGAUAUUUUCAUCUCCAAAAUCCUUCAUGGCAAACACUUAACACCGUGAAAAAUUAAACUAAUGCAUGUUAUCAUGUUUUUGUGUUUCAGCGAGUUUAAAACUAUUCAUUUCCAUUUUAAAACUUGCUAAAACAACAUUUCAUACUUUUAAAGUUCGACUCUAGCAAAACGGUUUUCAAAGCAAAACAUAAAAGUUUUAAAAGAGUCGAGCUUUGUGAGAGAAAUGUAGAAAAACAAGUUAGUACACAGUUAAUCAUAUCGAGUGCCAAUAACGAUUUCAUAAAAGACAUCCAAAUAUGAACAGCAUCCCACAAAUUCCAUGGAGCACCUAUGAAUUCUCCUAAAAAUGAUCUAAAGCAAAAAAGCAUGAAAAAUUAAAACCGUGCAAAUGGUUUUUAUUUCACAAUUUGAAAUUGAGCAGAUGGUUUUUAUGCCCAUAAUUGUUCAGAAACGAAAUUUUGAUAUUUUCAGCUCCAAAAUCCAUCAUGACUUACAACUAACACUGAAAAUUCAAAACUAAUGCAGGUUAUCAUGUUUAAGUAUUUGAGCGAGAUUAAAACUAUUCAUUUCCAUUUGAAAACUUGCUAAAACAACAUUUUUACUUUUAAAGUUCAACUCCAGGAAAAAUGGUUUUCAAAACAAAACAUAAAAGCUUCAAAAGUGUCGAGAUUUGUGUAAGAGCGUAAUGUAUAAAAACAAGUUAGCACAUAGUUAAUCGCAUCAAGUGCCAAUAACGAUUUCACAAAUGACAUCCAAAACUCAAUAGCAUCCCACAAAUUUACAGGAGCACCCAUGAAUUCUCCUAAAAAUGCAUCCAAAGGAAAUAAGCAUGAAAAAUAAAAACCAUGCAAAUGGUUUUUAUAUCACAUUUUCAAAUUGUGCAGAUAGUUUUUAUGCCCAUAAUUGUUUAGAAACGAAAUUUUGAUAUUUUCACCUCCAAAACCCUUCAUGACUUACACCUAACACCCUGAAAAUUUAAAACUAAUGCAUGUUACCAUGUUUAUGUGUUUGAGAGAGAUUAAAACUAUUAAUUUCCAUUUAAAAACUUGCUAAAACAGCAUUUCUUACUUUUAAAGCUCGACUCCAGCAGAAAUGGUUUUCAAAGCAAAACGUCAAGCUUUGAGUUUGUGCAUAAUGUAUAAAAACAAGUUAGCACACAGUUAAUCGCAUCAAGCGCCAACAACGAUUUCACAAAUGACAUCCAAAUAUCAAUAGCAUCCAACAAAUUCUCUGGACCACCCACGAAUUCUCGUAAAAAUGCAACUAAAGCAAAUAAGCAUGAAAAAUUAAAACCAUGCAAGUGGUUUUUAUAUCACAAUUUGAUUUUGUGCAGAUGGUUUUUUUUUCCCACAAUUGUUUAGAAAUGAAAUUUUGAUAUUUUCAGCUCCAAAAUCUUUCACGACUUACACUUAACGCAAUGAAAAAAUAAAACCAAUGCAGCUUAUAAUGUUUUUGUGUUUGAGCGUGUUUAAAAUUAUUAAUUUCCAUUUAAAAACUUGCUAAAACAACAUUUUAUUCUUUUAAAGUUUGACUCAAGCAGAAAUGGAUUUCAAAACAAAACAUAAAAGUUUCAAAAGAGAAAAGCUUUGAAUUUCUGCAUAAUGUAUAAAAGCAAGUUAGCGCACAGUUAAUCACAUCAAGUGCCAAUAACGAUUUCAAAAAUGCAUCCCACAAAUUCACUGAAGCACCCAUGAAUUCUCCUAAAAAUGCAUCUAAAUCAAAUAAGCAUGAAAAAUUAAAACCGUGCAAACAGUUUUUAUACCACAAUUUGAAAUUAUAUGGUUUUUAUACCCAAAAUUGUUCAGAAAGAAAAUUUUGAUAUUGUCAACUCCAAAAUCCCUCAUGACUUACACUUAACACCGUGAAAAAUUAGAACAAAUACAGGUUAUCAUGUUAUUGUGUUUGAGCAAGUUUAAAACUAUUCAUUUCCAUUUAAAAACUUCCUAAAACAACAUUUCAUACUUUUAAAGUUCGACUCCAGUAAAAAUGGUUUUCAAAUCAAAACAUAAAAGCUUCAAAAGCAUCGAGCUUUGUGUUUGUGCAUAAUGUAUAGAAGGAAAUUAGCACACAGUUAAUCGCAUCAAGCACCCAUAACUAUUUGACAAAUGAUAUCCAAAUAUCAACGGCAUCCCAUAAAUUCCCUGGUGCACUCAUGAAUUCUCCCAAAAAUGCAUCUAAAGCAAAAAAAAUGAAAAAUUAAAACCGUGCAAAUGGUUUUUAUAUCACAAUUUGAAAUUUUGCAGAUGGUUUUUAUGCCCAUAAUUGUUCAGAAACGAAAUUUUGAUAUUUUCAGCUCCAAAAUCCUUCAUGACUUACACUUAGCACCAUGAAAAUUUAAAACCAAUAGAGGUUAUCAUGUUUCUGUGUUUGAGCGAGUUUAAAACUAUUCAUUUUCAUUUAAAAACUUGCUAAAAACACCAUUUUCGUACUUUUAUAGCUUGACUCCAGCACAAAUCGUUGUCAAGGCAAAACGUCGAGCUUUGAGUCUGUGCGUAAUGUAUAAAAACAGGUUCGCACAUAAUUAAUCGCCUCAAGCACCAAUAGUGAUUUCACCAAUGACAUCCAAAUAUCAAUAGUAUCCCACAAAUUCCCUAGAGCACCUACGAAUUCUCAUAUAAAUGCAUCUAAAGCAAAUAUGAAUAAAAAAUUAAAACCGUGCAAAUGGUUUUUAUAUCACAAUUUGAAAUUGCGCAGAAGGUUUUUAUGCCAUAAUUGUUCAGAAACGAAAUUUGAUAUUUUCACCUCCAAAAUCCUUCAUGACUAUUUACACUGUCAAGAAUUAAAAACAAUGCAGGUUAUUAUGUUUCUGUGUUUGAGCAAGUUUAAAACUAUUCAUUUCCACUUUAAAAACUCGCCAAAACAACAUUUCAUACUUUUAAAGCUCAACUCAAGCAGAGAUGGUUUUCAAAGCAAAACGUCGAGCUUUGAGUUUGUGCGUAUUGUAUAAAAACAAGUUAGCACACAGUUAAUCGUAUCAAGCGUCAAUAACGAUUUCACAAAUGACAUCCAAAUAUCAACAGCUUCCCACAAAUUCUCUGGAGCCCCCAUGAAUUCUCCUAAAAAUGCAUCUAAAGAAAAUAAGCAUGAAAAAUUAAAACCGUGCAAAUUGUUUUUAUAUCACAAUUUGAAAUUGUGCAAAUCAUUUUUAUGCCGAUAAUUGUUCAGAAAUGAAAUUUUGAUAUUUUCAGCACCAAAAUCCUUCAUGACAUGCACCUAACACUGAAAAAUUAAAACCAAUGCAAGUUAUCAUUUUUCUGUGUUUGAGCAAGUUUAAAACUACUAUUUCCAUUUAAAAACUUGCUAAAACAACAUUCCAUACUUUUAAAGCUCGACUCCAACAGAAAUGUUUCCAAAGCAAAACAUAAAAGCUUCAAAAGCGUUGAGCUUUGAGUUUGAGCGUAAUGUAUAAAAACAUGUUGGCAGACAGUUAAUCGCCUGGAACGCCAAUAAUGAUUUCACAAAUAAUAUCCAAAUAUCAACACUAUCCCACAAAGUCCUUGGAGCACCCAUGAAUUCUCCUAAAAAUGCAUCUAAAGCAAAAAAGAAUGAAAAAUUAAAACUGUGCAAAUGGUUUUUAUAUCAGAAUUUGAAAUUGUGCAGAUGGUUUUUAUGAACGUAAUUGUUCAGAAACGAAAUUUUGAAAAAGCUUCAAAAGUGUCGAGCUUUGAGUUUGUGCGUAAUGUGUAAAAUCAAGUUAGCACACAGUUAAUCGCACCAAGUCACAAGAAUGAUUUCACAAAUGACAUCAAAAUAUCAACAGCAUCCCACAAAUACCCUGGAGAACCCAUGACUUUCUGCAAAAAUAUGCAUCUAAAGCAAAAAAGAAUGAAAAAUAAAAACCGUGCAAAUGGUUUUUAUAUCAUAAUUCGAAAUUAUGUAGAUGGUUUUUAUGCCCAUAAUUCUUCAGAAACGAAAUUUUGAUAUUUUCAUCUACAAAAUACUUCGUAACUUACACUAAACACCGUGAAAAAUUAAAACCAAUGCAGGUUAUCAUGUUUCUGUGAUUGAGUGAGUUUAAAACUAUUCAUUUCCAUUUAAAAACUUUCUAAAACAACAUUUCAUACUUUUACAGCUCGACUACAGCACAAAUGGUUUCCAAAACAAAACGUAAAAGCUUCAAAAGCGUCGAGCUUUGAGUUUGUGCGUAAUGUAUAAAAACAAGUUAGCACACAGUUAAUCACAGCAAACUCCAAUAACGAUUUCACAAAUGACAUCCAAAUAUCAACAGCAUCCCACAAAUUCCCGGGAGCACCCAUGAAUUCUCCUAAAAAGGCAGCUCAAGCAAAUAAGCGUGAAAAAUUAAAACCAUGCAAAAGGUUUUUAUAUCACAGUUUGAAAUUGUGCAGAUGGUUUUUACGCCCAUAAUUGUUUAAAAAUGAAAUUUUGAUAUUUUGAGUUGGAAAAACCUUCAUGACUUUGCACCUAACACUUCAUUUUUUUGUGUUUGAGUGAGUUUGAAACUAUUCAUUUCAAUUUAAAAACUUUCUAAAACAACAUUUCAUAAUUUUUGAAGCUCAACUACAGCAUAAAUGGUUUGUGUGUAAUGCACAAAAACAAGUUAGCACACAGUUAAUUGACUUAAGCACCAAUAACAUCCAAAUAUCAACAGCAUCCCACAAAUUCCCUUGAGCACAAAUUGAAUUCUCCUAAAAAUUCAUCUAAAGCAAAUAAGUAUGAAAAAUUAAAAUCGUGCAAAUUGUUUUCAUAUCACAAUUUGAAAUUGUGCUGAUGCUUUUUAUGCCCAUAACUGCUCAGAAACGAAAUUAUGAUAUUUUUAGCUCCAAAAUCUUUCAUGACUUGCACUUAACACCGUGAAAAGUCAAAACCAAUGCAGGUUAUCAUGUUUCUGUGUUUGAGCGAGUUUAAAACUAUUCAUUUCCGUUUAAAAACUUCCUAAAACAACAUUUCAUACUCUUAAAGGUCGACUCCAGCAGAAAUAGUUUCCAAAACAAAGCAUAAAAACUUCAAUAGCAUCGAGCUUUGAGUUUGUGGGUAAUGUAUGAACCAAAAGUUAGCACAUAGUUAAUUGCAUCAAGCGCCAAUAACGAUUUCACAAAUGGCACCCAAAUAUCAACAGCAUUACACAAAUUUCUUGGAGUGCCAUGAAUUCUCCUAAAAAUGCAUCUAAAGCAAAUAAGCAUGGAAAAUUAAAACAGUGCAAAUGGUUUUUAUAUCACAAUUUGAAAUUGUGCAGAUGGUUCUUAUGUCCAUAAUUGUUUAGAAACGAAAUUUUGAUAUUUUCAUCUCGAAAAUCCUUCAUGACUUACACUUAACACAAUGAAACAUUAAAAAUAAUGCAGGUUAUCAUGUUUCUGUGAUUGAGCGGGUUUAAAACUAUUCAUUUCCAUUUAAAAACUUGCUAAAACAACAUUUCAUACUUUUAAAGCCUGACUCCAGGAGAAAUAGUUUUCAAAGCAAAACGUCAAGCUUGGAGCACCCAUGAAUUCUCCUAAAAAGGCAGUCGAAGCAAAUAAGCAUGAAAUAUUAAAACCGUGCAAAUGGUUUUUAUAUCCCAAUUUGAGAUUGUGCAGAUUGUUUUUAUGCCCAUAAUUAUUCGAAAGUGAAAUUCUGAUAUUUUUAACUUGGAAAUCCAUCAUAACUUGCACCUAACACCGGUAAAAAUUAAAACCAAUGCAGGUUAAACCAUAAAACUUGAAAAGUGUCAAGCUUUGACUUUGUGCGUAAUUUAUAAAAACAAGUUAGCACACAGUUAAUCGCAUCAAGCGCCAAUAACGAUUUCACAAAUGACAUCCAAAUAUCAACAGUAUCCACAAAUUCCCUAGAGCACCAAUGAAUUCUCCUAAAAAAGCAUGUAAAGCAAAUAAGCAUAAAAAAUUAAAACCAUGUGAAUGGUUUUAAUAUCACAAUUUGAAAUUCUGCAGGUGGUUUUUAUGCCCAUAAUUGUUAAGAAGUGAAAUUUUGAUAUUUUCAACUCCAAAAUCCUUCAUGACAUGCACCUAACACCAUGAAAAAUUAAAACCAAUGCAGGUUAUCAUUUUUUUUUGUGUUUGAGCGAGUUUAAAACUAUUCAUUUCCAUUUAAAAACUUACUAAAACAACGUUUCAUACUUUUAAAGCCAAACUCCAGCAGAUAUGGCUUCCAAAGCAAAACCUAAAAGCUUUAAAAGUGUCGAGCUUUGAGUUUGUGUGUAAUGAAUAAAAACAAGAACACAGUUAAUCACAUCAAAGCGCCAAUAACAAUUUCACAAAUGAUAUCUAAAUAUCAACAGCAUCCAGCAAAUUCCCUGAGGCACCCAUGAAUUCUCCUGAAAAAGCAUCUAAAGCAAAUAAGCAUGAAAAAUUAAAAUCGUGCAAAUGGUUUUUAUAUCACAAUUUGAAAUUGUGCAGAUGGUUUUUAUACCCAUAAUUGUUCAGAAAUGAAAAUUUGAUUUUUUUUAACUCCGAAAUACUCCAUGACUUCCACCUAGCACUGUGAAAAAUUAAAACCAACGCAGCUUAUCACGUUUCUGUGAUUCAAUGAGUUUAAAAUAUUCAUUUCCGUUUAAAAACUUUUUAAAACAACAUUUCAUACUUUUAAAGCUCGACUACAGCAUAAAUGGUUUCCAAAGCAAAACGUAAAAGCUGCAAAAGCGUCGAGCUAUGAGUUUGUACGUAAUGUAUAAAACCAAGUUAGCACACAAUUAAUCGCAUCAAGUGCCAAUAAUGAUUUCACAAAUGACAUCCAAAUAUCAACAGCAACCCACAAAUUCCUUGGAGCACCAAUGAAUUCUCCUAAAAAUUCGGCUGAAGCAAAUAAGCGAGAAAAAUUAAAACCGCACAAAUGGUUUUUAUAUCACAAUAUAUGAUUGUGCAGAUGGUUUUUAUGCCCAUAAUUGUUCCAAAAUGAAUUUUUGAUAUUUUUAGCUCCAAAAUCCUUCAUGACAUGCACCUAACACCGUGAAAAAUUAAAACCAAUGUAAGUUAUCAUUUUUCUGUGAUUGGGCGAGUUUAAAACUAUUCAUUUCCAUUUAAAAACUCGCUAAAACGACAUUUCAUACCUUUAAAGCUUGACUCCAGCAGAGAUGGUUUCCAAACCAAAACAUAAAAGCUUCAAAUGACAUCCAAAUAUCAACAACAACCCACAAAUUACCUGAAGCACCAAUGAAUUCUCCUAAAAAUGCAUCAAAAGCAAAUAAGUAUGAAAAAUUAAAACCGUGUAAAUGGUUUUUAUAUCGAAAUUUAAAAUUGUGCAGAUGGUUUUUAUGCCCAUAAUUGUUAAAAAAAACGAAAUUUUGAUAUUUUUAGCUCCAAAAUCUUUCAUUACUUACACUUAACACAAUGAAAAAUUAAAACCAAUGCAAGUUAUCAUGUUUCUAUGGUUGAAUGAGUUCAACACGACCCAUUUCCAUUUAAAAACUUGCUAAAAAAACAUGUCAUACUUUUCAAGCUUCACUCUAGCAGAAAUGGCUUUCAAUGCAAAACUUCGAGUUUUGAGUCUGUGCGUAAUGUAUAAAAACAAGUUAGCACACAGUUAAUCGCAUCAAGUGCCAAUAAUGAUUUCACAAAUCAUAUCCAAAUAUCAACAGCAUCCCACAAAUUCCCUAGAGCACCCAUGAAUUCUCCGAAAAAUGCAUCUAAAGCAAAUAUGCAUGACAAAUUAAAACCUUGCAAACGACUUUUAUAUCACAAUUCGAGAUUGUGCAGAUAGUUUUUACACCCAUAAUUGUUCAGAAAUGAAAAUUUGAUUUUUUUGACUCCAAAAUACUUCAUGAUUUGCACCUAACACCGAGAAAAAUUAUACCAACGCAGCUUAUCAUGUUGCUGUGAUUCAGCAAGUUUAAAACUAUUCAUUUCCUUUUAAAAACUUUCUAAAACAACAUUUCAUACUUUUAAAGCUCAACUACAGUAUAAAUGGCUUCCAAAGCAAAACGUAAAAGCUUCAAAAGUAUCGAGCUUUGACUUUGUGCGUAAUGUAUAAAAACAAGUUAGCACACAGUUAAUCGCAUCAAGCUCCAAUAAGGAUUUCACAAAUGACAUCCAAAUAUCAACAGCAUCCCACAAAUUCCCUGGAGCACCCACGAAUUCUCCUAAAAAUUCAGCUGAAGCAAAUAAGCCUGAAAAAUUAAAACCGUGCAGAUUGUUUUUAUAUCACAAUUUGAGAUUGUCCAUAUGGUUUUUGUGCCCAUAAUUGUUCAGAGUAAAAAACUUGAUAACUUUCAACUAACACUGUGAAAACUUAAAACCAAAGCAGGUUAUCAUUUUUCUGUGUUUGAGUGAGUUUAAAACUAUUUAUUUCCAUUUAAAAACUUUCUAAAACAAUAUUUCAUACUUUUAAAACUCGACCACAUCAUAAAUGAUUUCCAAAGCAAAACGUAAAAGCUUCAAAGGCGUUGAGCUUUUAGUUUGUGCGUAACAUAUAAAAAGAAUUAGCACACAGUUAAUCGCAUCAAGCCCCAAUAAUGAUUUCACAAAUGACAUCCAAAUAUCAACAGCAUCCCACAAAUUCCCUGGAGCACCAAUGAAUUGUCCUAAAAAUGCAUCUAAAGCAAAUAAGCAUGAAAAAUUAAAACCAUGCAAAUGGAUUUUAUAUCACAAUUUGAGAUUGUGCAGAUGGUUUUUAUGCCCAUAAUUGUUCAUAAACGAAAUUUUCAUAUUUUCAGCUACAAAAUCCUUAAUGACUUUCACUUAAAACCAUGAGAAAUUAAAACCAAUGCAGGUUAUCAUGUUUUUGUGAUUGAGCGAGUUUAAACCUACUCAUUUCCAUUUAAAAACUUUCUAAAACAACAUUUCAUACUUUUAAAGCUUGACUACAGGAUAAGUGGUUUCCAAAGCAAAACUUAAAUGUUUCAAAAGAGUCGAGCUUUGAGUUUGUUCGUAAUGUAUAAGAACAAGUUAGCACACAGUUAAUCCCAUCAAAGCGCCAAUAACGAUUUCACAAAUGACAUUCAAAUAUCAACAGCAUCCCACAAAUUCCCUUGAGCACCCAUGAAUUGUCCUAAAAAUGCAUCUAAAGCAAAUAACAUGAAAAAUUAAAACCGUUCAAAUGGUUUUUAUAUCAGAAUUUGAGAUGGGGCAGAUCGUUUUUAGGCUCAUAAUUGCUCAGAAAUGAAAUUUUGAUAUUUUUAGCUCCAAAAUCCUUCAUGACUUGCACCUAACACUGAAAAAUUAAAACCAAUGCAAGUUAUCAUUUUUCUAUGUUUUAGCGAAUUUAAAACUAUUCAUUUCCAUUUAAAAACUUACUAAAACAACAUUUCAUAUAUUUAAAGCUCGACUCUAGCAGAAAUAGUUUCGAAAGUAAAACAUAAAAAGCUUCGAAAGCGUCACACUUUCAAUUUGUGCAUAAUGUAUAAAAACAAGUUAAGCACACAUUUAAUCACAUCAAAGCGCGAAUAACCAUUUCACAAAUGACAUCCAAAUAUCAACCGCAUCCCAAAAAUUCCCUGGAGCACCCAUGAAUUCUCCUAAAAAGGCAGUUGAAGCAAAUAAGUGUGAAAAAUUAUAACCGUGCAAUUGGUUUUAAUAUCACAAUUUUAGAUUGUGCAGAUGGUUUUUAUAUUUUUAGCUCCAAAUAAAAACCGUUCAAAUGGUUUUUAUAUCAGAAUUUGAGAUGGGGCAGAUCGUUUUUAGGCUCAUAAUUGCUCAGAAAUGAAAUUUUCAUAUUUUUAGCUCCAAAAUACUUUCAUCACUUGCACCUAACACCGUGAAAAAUUAAAACCAAUGUAGGUUAUCAUUUUUCUGUGUUUGAGCGAGCUUCAAAGUAUUCAUUUCAAUUUAAAAAGUUGCUAAAACAACAUUUCAUAAUUUUUAAAGCUUGACUACAGCAUAAAUAGUUUCCAAAGCAAAACAUAAAAGCAUCAAAACCGUCGAGCUUUGAGUUUGUGCGUAAUAUCAACAGCAUCCCACAAAUUCCCGGAGCACCCAUAAAUUCUCCUAAAAAAUUCAGCUGAAGGAAACAAGCAUGAAAAAUAAAAAUCAUGCAAAUGAUUUUUAUAUCGCAAUUUUAGAUUAUGCAUAUGGUUUUUAUGCCCAUAAUUGUUCAGAAAUGAAAUUUUGAUUUUUUUUAACUCCUAAGUACUUCAUGACUUGCACCUAAUACCAUGAAAACUGAAAACUAACACCGGUUAUCAUUUUUCUGUGUUUGAGCGAGUUUAAAACUAUUCAUUUCUAUUUAAAAACUUUCUAAAACAACAUUUCAUACUUUUAAAGCUCGACUACAGCAUAAAUGGUUUCCAAAACAAAACGAAAAAGCUUCAAAGGCAUCGAGCUUUUAGUUUGUGCGUAACAUAUAAAAAAAAGUUAGUACACAGUUAAUUGAAUCAAGCUCCAAUAACGAUUUCACAAAUGACAUCCAAAUAUCAACAACAUCCCACAAAUUCCCUGGAGCACCCAUGAAUUCUCCUAAAAAUGCAUCCAAAGAAAAUAAGCAUGAAAAAUUAAAAUCGUGCCAACAGUUUUUAUAUCACAAUUUGGAAUUGUGCAAAUGGUUUUUAUGCCCAUAAUUGUUCAAAAACGAAAUUUUUAUAUUUUCAGCUCCAAAAUCCUUCAUGACUUAUACUUAGCACUGUGAGAAAUUAAAACCAAUGCAGGUUAUCAUGUUUCUGUGAUUGAGCAAGUUUAAAACUACUCAUUUCCAUUUAAAAACUUUCUGAAAGUACAUUUCAUAGUUUUAAAGCUUGACAACAGCAUAAAUGGUUUCCAAUGCAAAACGUAAAAGCUUCAAAAGAGUCGAGCAUUGAGUUUGUGUGUCAAUAAGAAUUUCACAAAUGACUUCCAAAUAUCAACAGCUUCCCACAAAUUCCCUGGAGCACCCAUGAAUUGUCCUAAAAAGGCAGCCGAAGCAAAUAAGCAAGAAAAAUUAAAAACCAUGCAAAUGCAGGUAAUCAUUUUUCUGUGAUUGAGCUAGUUUAAAACUAUUUAUUUCAAAUUAAAAACGUACUAAAAUAACAUUUCAUACAUUUAAAACUUGACUCCAGUAGAAAUGGUUUCGAAAGCAAAACGUAAAACUUCAAAAGUGUCAAGCUUUGAGUUUGUGCCUAAUGUAUAAAAACAAGUUAGCAUACAGUUAAUCGCAUCAAAGCGCCAAUAACGAUUUCACAAAUGACAUCCAAAUAUAAACAGCAUCUCACAAAAUCCCUGGAGCACCCAUGAAUUGUCCUAAAAAUGCAUCUAACGCAUAUAAGCAUGAAAAAUUAAAACUGUGCAAAUGGCUUUUAUAUCACAAUUUGAGAUUGAGCAGAUGGUUUUUCUGCCCAUAAUUGUUCAGAAGAGAAAUUUUGAUAUUUUUAGCUCCAAAAUCCUUCAUCACUUGCACCUAACACCGUAAAAAAUUAAAACCAAUGCAAGUUAUCAUUUUUCUGUGUUUUAGCGAGUUUAAAACUAUUCAUUUCCCUUUAAAAACUUACUAAAACAACAUUUUCGUAGUUUUAAAGCUCGACUCCAGCAGAAAUGGUUUCCAAAGCAACACAUAAAAAGCUUCAAAAGUGUUGAGCUUUGAGUUUGUGCGCAUGUAUAAAAACAAGUAAGCACACAUUUAAUCGCAUCAAAGUGCCAAUAACAAUUUGACAAAUGACAUCCAAAUAUCAACAGCAUCCAACAAAUCGCAUGGUGCACCCAUGAAUUCUCAAAAUGCAUCUAAUGCAAAUAAACAUGAAAAAUUAAAAACCAUGCAAAUUGUUUUUAUAUCACAAUUUGAGAUGUUGCAUAUGGUUUUUAUGCCCAUAAAUUUUCAGAAAUGAAAUUUUGAUUUUUUUAACUGCAAAAUACUUCAUGACUUGCACCUAACAUUGUGAAAAAUUAAAACCAACGCAGAUUAAGCGAGUUUAAAAUAAUCAUUUCCAUUUAAAAACUUUCUAAAAUAACAUUUCAUACUUUUAAAGCUCGACUACAGCAUAAAUGGUUUCCAAACCAAAACGUAAAAGCUUUAAAAGUGUCGAGCUAUGAGUUUGUGCAUAAUGUAUAAAAAGAAGUUAGCAUCUUAUCAAGCGCCAAUAACGAUUUCACAAAUGAUCCAAAUAUCAACAGCAUUCCACAAAUUCCAUGCAGCGCCCAAGAAUUCUACUAAAAAUUCAUCUAAAGCAAAUAAGUAUGAAAAAUUAAAACCGUGCAAAUGGUUUUUAUAUCACAGUUUGAAAUUGGGCAGAUGGUUUUUAUGCUGAUAAUUGUUAAGAAAUGAAAUUUUGAUAUUUUCAGCUGCAAAAUCCUUCAUGACAUGUGCCUAAUACCAUUAAAAAAUUAAAACUAAUGCAGGUUAUCAUUUUUCUGUGUUUGACAGUUUAAAACUAUUCAUUUCCAUUUAAAAGCAUGCUAAAACAACAUUUCGUAGUUUUAAAGCUCGACUCCAGUAGAAACAGUUUUCAAAGCAAAACAUAAAAGAUUCAAAAGUGUCAAGCUUUGAGUUUGUGUGUAAUGUAUAAAAACAAGUUAGCACACAGUUAAUCGCAUUAAGCAUCAAUAACGAUUUCACAAAUGGCAUCCAAAUAUCAACAGCAUCCCACAAAUUUCCUGGAGCACCCAUGAAUUCUCCUAAAAAUGCAUCUAAAGCAAAUAAGCAUGAAAAGCUAAAACCAUGGAAAUGGUUUUUAUAUCACAAUUUGAAAUUGUGCAGAUGAUUUUUACGCCCAUAAUUGUUCAGACACAAAACUUUGAUAUUUUCAGCCCCAAAAUCCUUUGACUUGCACUUAACACAAUGAAAAAUUAAAACCAAAGCAGGUUAUCAUGUUUCUGUGUUUGAGGGAGUUUAAAACUAUUAAUUUCCAUUUUUAGAAACUUGCUAAAACAGCAUUUUAUACUUUUAAAGCUCGACUCCAGCAGAAAUGGUUUUCAAAGCAAAACAUAAAAGAUUCAAAAGCGUUAAGCUUUGAGUUUGUGUGUAAUGUAUAAAAACAAGUUAGCACAUCGUUAAUCGCAUCAAACGCCAAUAGUGAUUUCAGAAAUGACAUCCAAAUAUCAACAGCAUCUCACAAAUUCCCCGGAGAAACUAUGAAUUCUCCUAUAAAUGCAUCUAAAGCAAAUAUGAAUGAAAAAUUAAAACCGUGCAAAUGGUUUUUAUGCCACAAUUUGACAUUGUGCAGAUGGUUUUUAUGCCCAUAACUGUUCAGAAACGAAAUUUUGAUAUUUUCAACUCCAAAAUCCUUCAUGUGCAGAUGGUUAAUCGCAUUAAGCGCUGAUAACAAUUUCAAAUAUGAACCCAUUCACAUAAAGCAUCGCUCAAAUUCCAUAUAGCAUCCAUGACUUCUCCUAAAAAUGCUAAAGCAAAUAGGCAUGAAAAAUUAAAACCACGCAAAUUGUUUUUAUGCCUAUAAUUGUUCAGACAGGAAAUUUUGAUAUUUUCAGACCAAAAUCCUUCAUCACAUGCAUCUAACACCGUCAAAAAUUAAAACAAAUGCAAGUUAUCAUUUUUCUGUGUUUGAGCGAGUUGAAAACUAUUCAUUUCCAUUUAAAAACAAGCUAAAAGAACAUUCCAUACUUUUAAAGCUCGACUCCAGUAGAAAUGGUUUCCAAGGCAAAACAUAAAAGCUUCAAAAGCGUCGAGCUUUGAGUUUGUGCAUAAUGUAUAAAAACAAGUUAGCACACAGUUAAUCACAUCAACCUUCAAUCACAAUUUCACAAAUGAUAUCCAAAUACCAACGGCAUCCCACAAAUUCACUGGAGAACCCACGACUUUCUGCAAAAAAAUGCAUCUAAAGCAGAAAAGAAUGAAAAACUAAAACCAUGCAAAUGGUUUUUAUAUCACAAUUUGAAAUUGUGUAGAAGGUUUUUAUGCCCAUAAUUCUUCAGAAACGAAAUUUUGAUAUUUUCAUCUCCAAAAUCCUCCAUUACCUACACUAAACACCAUGAAAAAUUAAAUCCAAUGCAGGUUAUCAUGUUUCUAUGAUUGAGCGAGUUUAAAACUAUUCAUUUCAAUUUUAAGACUUUCUAAAACAACAUUUCAUACUUUUAGAGCUCGACUACAGUAUAAUUGGUUUCCAAAGCAAAACGUAAAAGUUUCAAAAGCGUUGAGCUUUGAGUUUGUGCAUAAUGUAUAAAAACAAGUUAGUACACAGUUAAUUGCAUCAAGCGCCAAAAACGAUUUCACAAAUGACAUCAAAAUAUCAACAGCAUCCCACAAAUUCCCUAGAGCACCCAUGAAGUCUCCUAAAAAUGCAUCCAAAGCAAAUAAGUAUGGAAAAUUAAAACAGUGCAGAUGGUUUUUAUAUCACAAUUUGAAAUUGUGCACAUGGUUCUUAUGUCCAUAAUUGUUGAGAAGCGAAAUUUUGAUAUUUUCAUCUCCAAAAUCCUUCAUGACUUACACUUAACACAACGAAACAUUAAAACUAAUGCAAGUUAUCAUGUUUCUGUGAUUGAGCGAGUUUAAAACUAUUCAUUUCUAUUUAAAAACUUGCUAAAACAACAUUUCAUACUUUUAAAGCUUAACUAUAGCAGAACUGGUUUCCAAAGCAAAACGUAAAAGCUUCAAAAGCGUUGAGGUUUGAGUUUGUGCGUGAUGUAUAAAAAACAUAUUAGCGCACAGUUAAUCGUGUCAAAGCGCCGACAACAAUUUCACAAAUGGCAUCUAAAUAUCAAUAGCAUCCCACAAAUUCCCUAAAGGCAGUCGAAGCAAAAAAGCAGGAAAAAUUUAAACCGUGCAAAUGGUUUUUAUAUCAUAAUUUGAGAUUGUGCUAAUGGUUUUUAUGCCCAUAACUAUUUAUAAAUGAAAUUUUGAUAUUUUGAACUUGAAAAUCCUUCAUGACUUGAACUUAACACCGGUAAAAAUUAAAACCAAUGCAGGUUAUCAUUAUUCUGUUUGUAAGCGAGUUUAAAACUAUUCAUUUACAUUUAAAAACGUACUAAAACAACAUUUCUUACUUUUAAAGCUUGACUCCAGCAGAAAUGGUUUUCAAAGCAAACCAUGAAACUUGAAAAGCAUCAAGCUUUGACUUUGUGCGUAAUUUAUAAAAACAAGUUGGCACGCAGUUAAUCGUGUCAAGCGCCAAUAAUGAUUUCACAAAUGACAUCCAAAUAUCAACAGCAUCCCACAAAUUCCCUAGAGCACCAAUUAAUUCUCCUAAAAAUGCAUGUAAAGCAAAUAAACAUGAAAAAUUAAAACCAUGCGAAUGAUUUUUAUAUCACAAUUUGAAAUUGUGCAGAUGGUUUUUAUGCCGAUAAUUGUUAAGAAAUGAAAAUUUGAUAUUUUCAGCUCUAAAAUCCUUCAUGACAUGCACCUAACACCGUGGAAAAUUAAAAACCAAUGCAGGUUACAUUUUUUGUGUUUGAGUGAGUUUAAAACUAUUCAUUUCCAUUUAAAAACUUACUAAAACAACGUUCCAUACUUUUAAAGCUCAACUCCAGCAGUUAUGGUUUCCAAAGCGUUGAGCUUUGAGUUUGUGUGUAAUGAAUAAAAACAAGUAACAACCCAGUUAAUCGCAUCAAAACGCCAAUAACGAUUUCUCAAAUGACAUUUAAAUAUCAACAGAUCCAACAAAUUCCUUGGAGCACCCAUGAAUUCCCCUGAAAAUGCAUCUAAAGCAAAUGAGCAUGAAAAAUAAAAAUCAUGCAAAUGGUUUUUAUAUCCCAAUUUGAGAUUGUGCAGAUGGUUUUUAUGCCCAGAAUUGUUCAGAAAUGAAGUUUUAAUUUUUUUAACUCCAAAAUACUUCAUGACUUGCACCUAACACCAAGAAAAAUUAAUACCAACGCAUCUUAUCCUGUUUCUGUGAGUCAGCGAGUUUAAAACUAUUCAUUUCCAUUAAAAAACUUUCUAAAACAACAUUUCAUACUUUUAAAGCUCGACUACAGCAUAAAUGGUUUCCAAAGCAAAACGUAAAAGCUUCAAAAGAGUCGAGCUUUGAUUUUGGGCGUAAUGUAUAAAAACAAGUUAGCACACAGUUAAUCGCAUCAAGCUCCAAUAAUGAUUUCGCAAAUAACAUCCAAAUAUCAACAGCAUCCCACAAAUUCCCUAAAGCACCCAUGAAUUACUCUAAAAAUUCUGCAGAAGCAAAUAAGCAUGAAAAAUAAAAACCAUGCAAAUGGUUUUUAUAUCACAAUUUGAGAUUGUGCAUAUGGGUUUUUUUGCCCAUAAUUGUUCAGAAAUUAAAAAUUUUGAUUUUUUUAACUCUAAAAUACUUCGUGACUUGCAUCUAACACUGUGAAAAAUAAAACCAACGCAGGUUAUCAUAUUUCUAAGAUUGAGCGAGUUUAAAACUAUUCAUUUCCAUUUAAAAACUUUCUAAAACAAGAUUUCAUACUUUUAAAGCUUGACUACAGUAUAAAUGGAUUCCAAAGCAAAACGUAAAAGCUUCAAAAGCAUCGAACUUUGAGUUUGUGUGUAAUGUAUAAAAACAAGUUAGCACACAUGUAAUCACAUGAAGCUCCAACAAUGAUUUCACAAAUGACGUCCAAUUAUCAAUAGCAUCCUCCCCAGAGCACCCAUGAAUUCUCCAAAAAUACAUCUAAUGCAAAUAAGCAUAAAAAUUAAAACCGUACAAAUGGUUUUAAUAUCACAAUUUGAGAUUGCACAUAUGGGUUAUAUGCCCAUAACUGGUCAGAAAUGAAAUUUUGAUUUUUUUAACUCCAAAAUACUUCAUGACUUGCACCUAACACUGUGAAAAAUUAAAAUCACAUAAAGCUCCAAUAAUGAUUUCACAAAUGUCAUCCAAAUAUCAACAGCAUCUCACAAAUUCCCCGCAGCACCCACGAAUUCUCAUAAAAUUACAUCUAAAGAAAAAUUAAAACCGUGCAAAUGGUUUUUAUAUCGCAAUUUGAAAUUGUGCAGAUGGUUCUUAGGCUCAUAAUUGUUCAGAAAUGAAAUUUUCAUAUUUUCAGCGCCAAAUUUAUUCAUGACUUACACUUAACACCGUGAGAAAUUAAAACCCGUGUAGGUUAUCAUGUUUCUGUGAUUGAGCGAGUUUAAAACUAUUCAUUUCCAUUUAAAAACAUUCUAAAACAACAUUUUAUACUUUUAAAGCUCGACUACAGCAUAAAUGGUUCCCAAAGUAAAAUGUAAAAGCUUUAAAAUCGUUGAACUUUGAGUUUGUGCAUAAUGUAUAAAAACAAGUUAGCACACAGUUAAUCACAUCAAGCACCAACAACGAUUUCACAAAUGACAUCCAAAUAUCAACAGCAUCCCACAAAUUCAAAUUCCCUGAAGCACCCAUGAAUUCUCCAAAAAUUUUUGUUGAUGCAAAUAUGCAUGAAAAAUUCAAACCGUGCAAAUGGUUUUUAUAUCACAAUUUGAGAUUGUGGAUAUGGUUUUUAUGCCGAUAAUUGUUCAGAAACGAAAUUUUGAUAUUUUAAACUCCAAAAUCCUUCAUGACUUACACAUAACACCAUGAAAAAUUGAAAGCAAUGUAGGUUAUCAUGUUUCUGUGCUUUGAGUGAGUUUAAAACUAUUCAUUUCAAUUUAAAAUCUCGCUAAAAAAACAUUUCAUACUUUUAACACUCGACUUCAACAGAAAUGGUUGUCAAAACAAGGUAUAAAAGCUUUAAAAAUGUUGAUCUUUCAGUUUGUGCAUAACGUAUAAAAACAAGUUAGCACACAGUUGCAUCAAGCGACAAUAACAAUUUCACAAAUGGCAUCAUAGUAUCAACAGCAUCCCACAAUUUCCCUGGAGCAUCAAUGAAUUCUCCAAAAAAUGCAUCUGCAGCGAAUAAGUGGCUUUUAUAUCACAAUUUGAAAUUGUGUAAUGUUUUUACGCACAUAAUUGUUCAGAAACGAAAUUUUGAUCUUUUGAGCUCCAAAAUCCUUCAUGACAUACACUUAAAACCGUGAAAAACUAAAACCAUUACUGGUUAUCAUGUUUCCGUGUUUGAGAGAGUUUAAAACUAUUCAUUUCCAUUUAAAAGCAUUGAGUUUGUGUGUAAUUUAUAAAAACAGGUUAGUACACAGUUAAUCGCAUCAAGUGCCAACAACAACCUCACAAAUGACAUCCAAAUAUCAACAGCAUCCUACAAAAUCCCCGGAGCACCCAUGAAUUCUGCAAAAACUUCAGCUGAUGCAAAUAAGCAGGAAAAAUGGUUUUUAUGUCACAAUUUGAGAUCGUGCAGAUGGUUUUUAUGCCCAUUAUUGCUUAGAAAUGAAAUUCUAUUUUUUUUAACUCCAAAAUACUUCAUGAGUUGCACCUAACACCAUGAAAAAUGAAAACCAAAGCAGGUUAUCAUGUUUCUGUGACUGAGCGAGUUUAAAACUACGCAGUUCCAUUUAAAAACUUUCUAAACCAACAUUUCAUACUUUUAAAGCUUGACUACAACAUAAAUGGUUUCCAAAGCAAAACGUAAAAGCUUCAAAAGCAUCGAGCUUUGAGUUUGUGCAUAAUGUAUAAAAACAAGUUAGCACACAGUUAAUCACAUCAAGCUCCAAUAACGACUUCACAAAUGACAUCCAAAUAUCAACAGCAUCCCACAAAUUCCCUGGAGCAGCCGUGAAUUCUCCUAAAAAUUCAGCUGAAGCAAAUAGGCGUAAAAAUAAAAAUCGUUUAAAUGGUUUUUAUAUCACAAUUUGAGAAUGUGCAUAUGGUUUUUAUGCCCAUAAUUGGUCAGAAAUGAAAUUUUGAUUUUUUUUUAACUCCAAAAUACUUCAUGACUUGCACCUAACACCAUGAAAAAUGAAAACCAAUGCAGGUUUUCAUGUUUCUGUGAUGGCCAAGUUUAAAACUAUUCAAUUCCAUUUCAAAACUUUCUAAAACUUUCAUAGUUUUAAAGCUCAACUACAUCAUAAAUGGUUUCCAACCAACACGUAAAAGCUUCAAAAGCGUUGAGCUUUGAGUUUGUGCGUAAUGUAUAAAAACAAGUUAGCAAACAGUUAAUCGCAUCAAGCUCUAAUAACGAUUUCGCAAAUGACAUCCAAAUAUCAACAGCAUCAAACAAAUUGCCUGGAGCUCCCAUGAAUUCUCUUAAAAAUACAUCUAAAGCAAAUAAGCAUGAAAAAUUAAAACAGUGCAAACGGUUUUUAUAUCACAAUUUGAAAUUGUGCAGAUUGUUCUUAUGCCCAUAAUUGUUCAGAAAUGAAAUUUUCAUAUUUUCAGCCCCGAAUUCCUUCAUGACCUACACCUAACACCGUGAGAAAUUAAAACCAGUGCUGGCUAUCAUGUUUCUGUGAUUAAGCAAGUUUAAAACUAUUCAUAUCCAUUUAAAAACUUCCUAAAACAACAUUUCAAACUUUUAAAGCUCAACUCCAGUAGAAAUGGAUUCCAAAGCAUCGAGCUUUGAGUUUGCGUGUAAUGUAUAAAAAACAAGUUAACACAUAGUUAAUUGCAUCAAGCGCAAAUAACGACUUCACAAAUAACAUCCAAAUAUCAACAGCAUCCCACAAAUUCCCUGGAGCAGCAAUCAAUUCUCCUAAAAAUGCAUCUAAAGCGAAUAAGCAUGAAAAAUUAAAACCAUGCAAAUGGUUUUUGUAUCACAAUUUGAAAAUGUGCAGAUGGUUUGAAUGCCCGUAAUUGUUUAGAAACGAAAUUUUGAUAUUUUCAGCUCCAAAAUCCUUCAUGACUUAUAUUUAACACUGUGACAAAUUAAAACCAAUGCAAGUUAUCAUAUUUCCGUGUUUGAGCGAGUUUAAAACAAUUAAUUUCCAUUUAAAAACUUGCUAAAACAAUAUUUUAUACUUUUAACGCUCAACUCCAGCAGAAAUGGUUUUCAAACCAAAACAUAAAAGCUUCAAAAAUGUCGAGUGUUGAGUUUGUGCGUCACGUAUAAAAACAAGUUAGCGCAUAGUUAAUCGCAUCAAGUGCAAAUAACGAUUUCACAAAUGACAUCAAAAUACCAACAGCAUUUCCCAAAUUCCCUGGAACACCCAUGAAUUAUCCUAAAAAUGCAUCUAAAGCAAAUAAGAAUGAAAAAUUAAAACCGUGCAAAUGCUCUUUGUAUCACAAUUUCAAAUUGUGCAAAAGGUUUUUUUGCCCAUAAUUGCCACAAACGAAAUUUUGAUAUUUUGAGCUCAAAAAUCCUUCAUGACUUGCACUUAACACCGUGAAAAAUAAAAACCAAUGUGGGUUAUAAUGUUUUUGUGUUUGAGCGAGUUUAAAACUAUUCAUUUCCAUUUAAAAACUUGCUAAAACAACAUCUCAUACUUUAAAGCUCGACUCCAGCAGAAAUGGUUUUCAAAGAAAAAUAUAAAAGCUUCAAAAACGUCGAGCUUUUGAGUUUGUACGUAAGGUAAAAAAGCAAGUUAGUAUAAAGUUAAUCGCAUUAAGCACCAAUAACGAUUUCACAAAUGACAUUCAAAUAUCAACAUGAUCCCACAAAUUCCCCGGGAGCACCCAUGUAUUCUCCAAAAAAUGCAUCUAAAGCAAAUAAGCAUGAAAAAUUAAAAUCGUGCAAAUGGUUUUUAUAUCACAAUUUGAAACUGUGUAGAUGGUUUUUAUGCCCAUAAUUGUUCUGAAAUUAAAUUUUUUUUUUUUAGCUGCAAAAAACUUUAUGACUUGCACCUACCACCGUGAAAUAUGAUAACCAAUGCAGGUUUUCAUGUUUCUAUGUUUGAGCGAGUUUAAGACUAUUCAUUUUCUGUAAAAACUUGCUAAAACAACAUUUCGUACUUUUAAAACUUGACUCCAACAGAAAUGGUUUCCGAAGCAAAACAUAAAAGCUUCAAAAGCAUCAAGCUUUCAGUUUGUGCGUAAUGUAUAAAAACGUGUUAACAUACAGUUAAUCACAUCAACCGCCAAUAACGAUUUCUCAAAUGACAUCCAAAUAUCAACAGCAUCCCACAAAUGCCCUGCAGCACCCAUGAAUUCCCCUAAAAAGGCAGUUGAAAGAAAAAAGCAUGAAAAAUUAAAACCGUGCAAAUGGUUUUUAUAUCACAAUUUGAGAUUGUGCAAAUGGUUUUUAUGCUCAUAAUUGUUCAGAAAUGAAAUUUUGAUAUUUUUAGCUCCAAAAUCUUUCAUGACUUGCACCUAACACCAUGAGAAAUUAAAACCAAUGUAGGUUAUCAUGUUUAUGUGAUUGAGCGAGUUUAAAACUAUUCAUUUUUAUUUAGAAACUUUCUAAAACAACAUUUCACACUUUUAAAGCUCGACUACAGCAUAAAUGGUUUCCAAAGCAAAACAUAAAAGCUUCAAAAUCGUCGACCUUUGAGUUUGUGCAUAAUAUAUAAAAAUGAGUUAAAUCAAGUGCCAAUAACGAUUUCCCAAAUGACAUCCAAAUAUCAACAGCAUCCCAUAAACUCCCUGGAGGACCCAUGAAUUCUCCUAAAAAUACAUCUAAAGCAAAUAAACAUGAAAAAUUAAAACCAUUCAAAUGGUUUUUAUAUCACAAUUUGAAAUUGUGUAGAUGGUUCUUAUCCUAAUAAUUGUUUAGAAAUCAAAUUCUCAUAUUUUCAGCUCCAUAUUCCCUCAUGACUUACACUUAACACCGUGAGAAAUUAAAACCAAUGCAGGUUAUCAUGUUUCUGUGAUUGAGCGAGUUUAAAACAAUUCAUUUUCAUUUAAAAACUUUCAAAAACAACAUUUCAUACUUUUAAAGCUUGGCUACAGCAUAAAUGGUUUCCAAAGCAAACUGUAAAGCUUCAAAUCGUCAAGGUUUGAGUUUGUGCGUUAUCAUGACUUACACUUAACACUGUUAAUAUUUAAAACCAAUGCAGGUUAUCAUGUUUCUUUGUUUGAGUGAGUUUAAAACUAUUAAUUUCCAUUUAAAAACUUGCUAAAACAACAUUUCAUACUUUUAAUGCUCAACUCCAGCAGAAAUGGUUUUCAAGGAAAAAUAUAAAAAAUGUCGAGCUUUGAGUUUGUGCGUAACAUAAAAAAACAAGUUAACACACAAUUAAUCACAUCAAGCGCCAAUAAUGAUUUCACAAAUGACAUCCAAAUAUCAACAACAUCCCACAAAUUCCUGGGAGCACCCAUGAAUUCUCCUAAAAAUGCAUCUAAAGCAAAUAAGCAUGAAAAAUUAAAACUGUGCAAAUGGUUUUUAUAUCACAAUUUGAAAUUGUGCAGAUGGUUUUUAUGCCCAUAAUUGUUCCGAAAUUAAAUUUUGGUUUUUUUGGCUGCAAAAUACUUUAUGACUUGCACCUAACACCGUGAACUAUAAAAACCAAUGCAGGUUAUCAUCUUUCUAUGUUUGAGAGAGUUUAAGACCAUUCAUUUUCAUUUAAAAACUUGCUAAAACAACAUUCCAUACUUUUAAAGCUCGACUCAAGCAAAAAUGGUUUCCGAAGAAAAAAAUAAAAGAUUCAAAAGCGUUGAGCUUUGAGUUUGUGCGUAAUGUAUAAAAACAAGUUAGCAUACAGUUAAUUGCAUCAAGCUCCAAUAACGAUUUCACAAAUGACAUCCAAAUAUCAACAGCAUCCUACAAAUUCCCUGGAGCACCCAUGAAUUCUCCUAAAAAUUCAGCUGAAGCAAAUAAGCAUGAAGAAUUAAAACCGUGCAGGUGGUUUUUGUGCCCAUAAUUGUUCAGAAAUGAAAUUUUGAUAUUUUUAGCUCCAAAAUCGUUCAUGACUUGCACCUAACACCGUGAAAAAUUAAAACCAAUGCAGGUUAUCAUUUUUCUGUGUUUGAGCGAGUUUAAAACUAUUCAUUUCCAUUUAAAAACUUACUAAAACAACAUUUCAUACUUUUAAAGCUCGAAUCCAGCAGAAAAUUGCUUCCAAAGCAGAACAUAAAAGCUUCAAAAGCGUUGAGCUUUGUGUUUGUGCGUAAUGAAUAAAAACAAGUAAGCACACAGUUAAUUGUAUCAAAGUGCCAAUAACGAUUUCACAAAUGACAUCCAAAUAUCAAUAGCAUUGCACAAAUUCCCUGGAGCACCCAUGUAUUCUCCUAAAAAUGCAACUAAAGCAAAUAAGAAUGAAAAAUUAAAAUCGUGCAAAUGGUUUUUAAAUCACAAGUUGAAAUUGUACAUAUGGUUUUUAUGCCCAUAAUUGUUCAGAAAUGAAAUUUUGAUUUUUUUAACUCCAAAAUACUUCAUGACUUGCACCUAACACCAUGAAAAAUGAAAACCAACGGAGGUUAUCAUGUUUCUGUGAUUGAGCGAGUUUAAAACAAUUCAGUUCCCUUUAAAAAUUUUUUAAAACAACAUUUCUUACUUUUAAAGCUUGACUACUGCAUAAAUGGUUUCCAAAGAAAAACAGAAAAGCUUUAAAAGCGUCGAGCUUUGAGUUUAUGCAUAAUGUAUAAAAACAAGUUAGCACACAGUUAAUCACAUCAAGCUCCAAUAAUGAUUUCACAAACGAUAUCAAAAUAUCAACAGCAUCCCACAAAUUCCCUGGUGCACCCAGGAAUUCUCCUAAAAAUACUGCUGAAGUAAAUAAGCAUGAAAAAUUAAAACCGUGCAAACAGUUUUUAUAUCACAAUUUUGAGAUUGUGCAUAUGGUUUUUAUGCCCAUAUUUCGUCAGAAAUGGAAUUUUUGAUUUUUUUUUAACUCCAAAAUACUUCGUGACUUGCACCUAACACCGUGAAAAUUUAAAAUCAAUGCAGGUUUUCAUGUGUCUGUGAUGACCAAGUUUAAAACUAUUUAUUUCCAUUUAAAAAGUUUCUAAAACAACAUUUCAUACUUUUAAAGCUCGACUACAGCAUAAAUAGUUUCCAAACCAACACGUAAAACCUUAAAAAGUGUAGAGCUUUGAGUUUGUGUGUAAUGUAUAAAAACAAGUUAGCACACAGUUAAUUGCAUCAAAUUCCAAUAACGAUUUCACAAAUGACAUCCAAAUAUCACCAGCAUCCCACAAAUUCCCUGGAGCACCCAUGAAUUCUCUUAAAAAUACAUCAAAAGCAAAUAAGCAGGAAAAAUUAAAACCGUGCAAAUGGUUUUUUAUAUCAAAAUUUGAAAUUGUGCAGAUGGUUCUUACGCCCAUAACUGUUCUGAAAUGAAAUUUUCAAAUUUUCAGCUCCAAAUUCCUUCAUGACUUACACUUAACAUUGUGGGAAAUUAAAACCAACGCAGUUUAUCAUGUUUCUGCGACUGAGCGAGUUUAAAACUAUUCAUUCUUAUUUAAAAACUUUGUAAAACAAAAUUUGAUACUUUUAAAGCUCGAGUACAGCAUAAAUGGUUUCCAAAAAAAAACAUAAAAGCUUCAAAAUCGUCCAGCUUUUAGUUUGUGCGUAAUGUAUAAAAACAAGUUAGCACACAGUUAAUCGCAUCAAGCGCCAAUAAUGAUUUCACAAAUAACAUCCAAAUAUCAACAGCAUCCCACAAAUUCACUGGAACACCCAUGAAUUCUCCAAAAAUUUGAGCUGAUGCAAAUAAGCAAGAAAAAUUAAAACCGUACAAAUGGUUUUUACAUCACAAUUUGAGAUCGUGCGGAUGGUUUUUAUGCCCAUAAAUGUUUAGAAAUGAAAUUUUGAUUUUUUUAACUCCAAAAUACUUCAUGACUUGCACCUAACCCAUGGAAAAUGAAAACCAAUGCAAGUUAUCAUGUUUCUGUGAUUGAGCGAGUUUAAAACUAUUCAGUUCUAUUUAAAAACUUCCCAAAACAACAUUUCAUACUUUUAAAGCUUGAAUACAGCAUAAAUGGUUUCCAAACCAAAACGUGAAAGCUUCAAAAGUGUCGAGCUUUUAGUUUGUGCGUAAUGUAUAAAAACAAGUUAAAGCAAAUAAGCAUGAAAAAUUAAAGCUGUGCAAAUGAUUUUUAUAUCACAAUUUGAGAUUGUGCAUAUGGUUUUUAUGCUCAUAAUUGGUCAGAAAUGAAAUACUUCAUUACUUGCACCCAACCCAUGGAAAAUGAAAACCAAUGCAAGUUAUCAUGUUUCUGUGAUUGAACAAGUUUAAACUAUUCAGUUCUAUUUAAAAACUUUCCAAAACAACAUUUCAUACUUUUAAAGCUCGACUACAACAUAAAUGGUUUCCAAACCAAAAGGUAAAAGCUUCAAAAGUGUCGAGCUUUGAGUUUGUGCGUAAUGUAUAAAAACAAGUUAGUGCACAGUUAAUCACAUCAAGCACCAACAAUGAUUUCACAAAUGACGUCCAAAUAUCAACAGCAUCCCGCAAAUUUCCUGGAGCACCCAUGAAUUCUCCUAAAAAUUCUGCUGAAGCAAAUAAGAAUGAAAAAUUAAAACCAUGCAAAUGGUUUUUAUAUCACAAUUUGAGAUUGUGCAGAUAGUUUUUAUGCCCAUAAUUGGUCAGAAAUGAAAAUUUCAAAGCAAAAUAGAAAAGCUUUUAACUCCAAAAUACUUCAUGACUUGCACCUAAGACCGUGAAAAAUUAAAAUCAACGCAGGUUUUCAUGUUUCUGUGAUGACCGAGUUUAAAACUAUUCAUUUCCAUUUAAAAACUUUCUAAAAUAAUAUUUCAUACUUUUAAAGCUCGACUACAGCAUAAAUGGUUUCCAAACCAACAUGUAAAAGCUUCAAAAAAGUCGAGCUUUGAGUAUGUGCGUAAUGUAUAAAAACAAGUUAGCGCAUGGUUAAUCACAUCAAGCUCCAACAAUGAUUUCACAAAUGACGUCCAAAUAUCAACAGCAUCCCACAAAUUCCCUGGAGCACCCAUGAAUUCUCCUAAAAAUUUUGCUGACGCAAAUAAGAAUGAAAAAUUAAAACCAUGCAAAUGGUUUUUAUAUCACAAUUUGAGAUUGUGCAGAUAGUUUUUAUGCCCAUAAUUGGUGAGAAAUGAAAAUUUCAAAGCUUUAAAGCACACAGUUAAUCGCAUCAAGCGCCAAUAACGAUUUCGCAAAUGACAUCUAAAUAUCAACAGCAUCCCACAAAUUCCCUGGAGCACCCAUGAAUUCCCUUAAAAAUGCAUCUAAAGCAAAUAAGCAUGAAAUAUUAAAAACGUUCAAAUGGUUUUUAUAUCACAAUUUGAAAUUGUGCAGAUGGUUUUUAUGCCAUAAUUGUUCAGAAAUGAAAUUUUGAUAUUUUUAGCUCUAAAAUCCUUCAUGUCUUACCAUUAACACCGUGAAAAAUAAAAACCAAUGUAGGUUAACAUGUUUCAGUGUUUGAGCAAGUUUAAAACGUUGGGUUGAAGAUAUUGAUUUCCAUUUAAAAGCCUGCUAAAACAACAUUUCAUACUUUUGGAGCUCGAUUCCAGCAAAUGGUUAAUCACAACAAGCUCCAACAAUGAUUUCACAAAUGACGUCCAAAUAUCAACAGCAUCCCACAAAUUCCCUGGAGCACCCAUGAAUUCUCCCAAAAAUUCUGCUGACGCAAAUAAGAAUGAAAAAUUAAAAUCAUGCAAAUGAUUUUUAUAUCACAAUUUGAGAUUGUGCAGAUAGUUUUUAUGCCCAUAAUUGGUCAGAAAUGAAAAUUUCAAAGCAAAAUAGAAAAGCUUUAAAGCACACAAUUAAUCGCAUUAAGUGCCAAUAAUGAUUUCACAAAUGACAUCCAAGUAUCAACAGCAUCCCACAAUUUCCCUGGAGCACCCAUGAAUUCUCCUAAAAAUGCAUCUAAAGCAAAUAAGCAUAAAAAAUUAAAACCUUACAAAUGGUUUUAUAUCACAAUUUGAAAUUGUGCAGAUGAUUUUUAUGCCCAUAAUUGUUCAGAAAGGAAAUUUUGAUAUUUUGAGCGCCAAAAUCCUUCAUGACUUACACUUAAUACCGGGAAAAACUAAAACCAAUGCGAGUUAUCAUGUUCCUCUAUUUGAGUGAGUUUAAAACAUUGGAUUCAAUGUAUUCAUUUCCAUUUAAAAACUUGCUAAAACAACAUUUCAUACUUUUAAAGCUCUACUCUAGCAGAAAUGGUUUUCAAAGCAAAAUAUAAAAGCUUCAAAAACAUUGAGCUUUGAGUUUGUGCAUAAGGUACAGAAACAAGUUAGCACAUAGUUAAUCGCAUCAAGCGCCAAUAACGAUUUCACAAAUGACAUCCAAGUAUCAACAACCUCCAACAAAUUCCCUUGAGCACCCAUGAAUUCUCCUAAAAAUGCAUCUAAAGCAAAUAUAAUAUUUAUACUAAUUAUAAUAACAAUUAGAUUAUUAUAAAUAAUAAUCCUAUAAACUAUUUAGUUUAUAAACUAUUUUGUUAUUAUGAUUAUAUUAAUUUAUUUAUAUUAUUUAGAAUAUUAUUUAUUUAAAUAAUAUUAAAUUAUUUAUAUAGGCUUAUGUGAAUUAUUGAUUUUUUGUAAGCAAUUAUUUAUAUUAAUUAUUAUUCUAAUUUAUUUUAUAAGGAUUUUAAUAAAUAUUAAAUUAUUUAUUUAAUUAUAUAAUUUAGUAUAAUUAUACAUAAAUUAAAUUUUUACUAGUUAAUAAUUUAUUAUUAAUAAUAAUACUAAUUUAUUACCUUUUGUUUAAAAUUUAAUAUUAUAUUUAAUCUAUUUCUAUCUUAAAUUAAAAUAUUAUUUAAGAUAAAUUAAAUAAUUUAAAGAAUUAAAUUUAUAUUUAUAUUUAAAGUAAAUAUUUAAUUAUCUAUUAAUAUAUUACUAAUAUAUAUUUAAAUUUUUAAAUUUUAAUAUAUAUCAAUAUCUAUUAAAUUAAAAAUAUUUAAUUAAUUAUUUCUAUUUGUUAAAUAUAAAUAAAAGAGUCAUUUUAUUUAUAUUAAUUAACGUUUAAUAUUUAAUUAAUAUUAAUUAAUUAAUUAAUUAUAAUAAUAAAAUAGAAAUUAAUAAUUAAUAUUUUUAACAAUAUUUAAAAUAAUUUGUUAUUUUAUUUAUAAAGAUAUAAAGAAAUAACUUUAUAUUAAUUUAUAAAGUUAAAUAUUAACAAUCAUUAUAACAUUAUUAUUUCAUUAUAAUUAAAUAAAAUUAAUAAUAUAAUAAAUAGAUUAAUUUAAACAAAAUAUUAAUUAAUAUAUGUUAAAAUAAUAAAAGAUUUGUUAGCUUUAUAGGUUAGAUGGUGAUCCAAGAGGGGGGGUGAAUUGGAUCUCUCCAAAUUCUUCUCAAAUAAUGAUUUCAAUAUAGUUAAUGAAAAUUAAGACAAUAAGCUCUUUUGAUGAAAAUAUAAUGAAGGCAAUAACAAUCAAUGAACUUAAAAUCAAAUACGUCUAACAAUAAAUUAUAAGGAAACAGGGAUAGAGAAAUCAAACACAAUAAUUUAUAAAGGUUCGAUCAUUCUCCACAAGGCACAUAUGUCCUCUCUCUUGGUAGUUCACACCAAGGCAUAAAUCCACUAUGUGUUGAAGAUUACAAACAAGCUUCUCCAAGCUUUACAAACUCAACACAAUACACUCUUAAGGGUUAUCCUCCCCCUUAAACUUACAAUCACACAAUACAAAUUUUUAAGUGUUUGGCAAACUCUAAGAACCUCUCAAAGGUUGGGUGUUUGCUAAUUUGAAGUACACAAAGGUAUAGACAAGACAAAGAUGAAUGAAUAACAAAAAGAUAAUUUGGAUACAAUGAAUGCAAGGAUAUAGACUUUGAAGCUCUAAGAACUCUUGAUUAUUUGAGAAAAAGAAAAUAUUACUUAUUAGCUCUUGUUCUCUUGAUUCAUCUUGAUUCCUCUUAUUUCUUCUUGCUUCUUGGUGUAUUGGAGUGCCCAAUUUAUAGAGAAAUUGAGAAACUAUCCAUUGGGGAAGCUUGGAGUGAAGAAAUGCCCGUUGAAAUGAUGAAAAAGUAGCCAUUGGAGGUCUUCACGCCUAGAACUGAUCGAUCCCUUCUUGAGGGGAUCGAUUGGUUCAUGUUGGUUCAAGCAUAAUUUUGUCCUUGAAAAGCCUUACCCAAUCAAUCCCCUAUGUGGGGGGAUCGAUCUCUUUUCCGGAUUUUCAGCUUGGAAGGGGCAUUCUGUUUGAGGAAGCAAUUGAUCCCUUCUAGAGGGGAUCGAUCCUGUCCAAGCUGGUGGUUGUUUCUUGUUCUGUACUCUACUCACUAAUUUGAUCGUAACUUGAGUUAUACAAAUUCAAAUCACAAAACUGUUUUAAGAUUUAGAAAGUAGACUCAAAGAGCUUUCCAACCAUAUAAAAUUCAAGUAUUAAAGCCUUGUGAAUUUAUGCAAAAAAAUAAAAUAAGUUCAAUGUUGGAAAACUUUGUUCUUGUAAAAACAACUUUCCUAACUUAAUCUAUUUCCCAAAACCAAUAUUAUUAAAAUUGUAUUAAGUCCAAAAUGAAUAAGUUCACUUUAAAAACAACAAUUGGACUUUCAUUUAAGCUCAAAUAAAUAAUCUUUAAAAGUAGAUUUGAUUUAAGAAAUAUGACACCAAGAAAGGUUUGUUUAAACUUUGAAAAUCAUAUUAUUUAUUUAGUACCAAAAUAUAAAACUUAAGAACAAGUACUAAAUAAAUCUUUUUCAAAAUCUUGAUCAAGUUUAUAUAGCUUUAAUGUUUUAUCAUUUCAAAAUAAUGAUCAAUUCAAGGCUAACAAGAUUUAUUAUCUUUUAAAUCUUAUCAAAUAACAUAAUUUAUUAAUAGCAUUCCAAAAAAUAAUUGUAUAAUUAUUAUAUUUAUUUGUAUUUAUUUAAGAUAUUUUAGUAUUAUUUUUAUUUAAAUAAUACUUAUAUUAGAAAAAUUAAUAUUUUGUUAAAAUUCAAAAUUUUAAUUUAUUUUAAUAACCAAGAUCAUUCAGAAUAAAAAUUAAUAAGUUAUUAAAUAUAAUAAUAAUUGAAUAUUUUAUUUCAAUUGAAUAUAUCUAUUUAUAGGAUAUAUAAUUAAUUAAUCAUAAUUCAAAUAUUAUGAAUAAGUUAUUAAUUUGGCUUAUCCUUGUUUUUGAUGAUUUGCUUAUUAUAAGUUAUAUUAUUAUAUUUUUAUAAAUAUAAGAUUAAUUUAAUUUAUCAUAAUUAAAUAUAAUAUUAUUUAAUUAUUUAAUUAUUAAAUAAUAAUUAAUUAAAUUAGUAUUAAGUUACUAUAUAAUAAGAGAUUUAAAUAUUUAAAUUAUAAUAAUUAUAUAUAAAUUUAUUUAAUUGUUUAGAAAUAAUUAUUAAAUUAUUAAUUAAUUUAUUAACAAGUUAUUUAAUAAUUAAUAUUAAUACUUAAAUUAUAUUAAUAUUAAUAUAAUUUUAAUAAUUCAUAACAAUUAAUAUUAUAAUUAAAUAUUAAUAUUAUUUACUUAUAAAUUUAUAAUUAUAAUAUUAAUAAUUUGUUAAUAAUAAUUAUAAUACUAUUAAUAAUAUAUUAUAAAAAAUAAUAUUAUAAUAUAAUAAUUAUAUUAAAAUAAUUUAAAACCUAUAAUGUUUAGUUAAUAUUUAUGAAAUAAUUACUAAAUAAUAUAAUUAUUAUUAUUUUAUAGUAUUAAAUUACAUUAUCAGUUAUUUAUUUAGUGUUAAUAUUAAUAUAUUAUAAAUAAUUUUAAAUUAAUUAAAAAUAUUAAAUUAUUUUUAAUAAUUUACUCAAUUAUUUUAUUAAUUUAAUAAACUCAAUUAAAUAUUAACUAAUAUUUUAGUAAUAAUAAUUAACAUAAUUAUUAAUAUAUAAAGGUAAUAUUAUAUUUUAUAACAAUUAAUAUUUUAGUAAUUUAAUAUCAUAAUAUUUUUAAUUAAUUUUUUUAAUAAUGAUAAUUAUUAUGUUAAUCAUAAUUAAUAUUAAUAUAAUUUAUUAAUUUUAAAUUUGUUUAAUUAAUAAUAACUAUUAGUUUACUGAUAAUAAAUUAGAGAAUAAUAUUUUAAUAACAUUUGAAAUCUAAGAUAAUUAAUAAUAUUAAUUAUAAUAAUAAUUAAAUAAAUUAUAUUAAUAUAAUUAUUUAUUGAAUAGAUUAUAAUUUGUAUAUUAUUUUAUUAUCUAAUUUAUUAUAAAAUAGAUAUAAUUUGACUUUUUGUUUAAUUAAAUUCUUAUUAUUAUAUUAAUAAUUUUAGUUAUAUUAAAUAAAAAGUAUAAUAUAAUUAAUUAUUAUUAUUAUUAUUAUAUAUAAUAAUUUAUUAUAAAUUAUAAAUUUAUAUUAAUAGUUUAAUAAUUAUAACUUUAUGUUUAAAUAUCAUAUAUAAUAUUUUAUUAUUAUUAUAUAAUAAUUAUAUAAAUUGAUUAUUAUAUAAAUUAAUUAUAUUAUUAAUUUAAAAUAUACUAAUUAAAUAACUUAAUUAAUUGGUUAUUAUUAUAUAUAUCAUUAAAUAGUAAGUGAUAAUUGGUUAUUAUUCAUAACAAUUGUUCUUCUUCAUGCAAAAUUAUUUAGAAUAAAAUAGUACUAAACAGAUUUAUAAUAUUGUAAUUUGUUAUUACUAUUAAUAAUUAAUAAAUUAAUUUGUUUUAUCAUAAUAAUUAAUAACUAUUUGAUUAUACUUAUAAAAAUAAAGUAUAAUUUUUAAUAAUAAAUAGUAUAGAUAAUUUAUAAAAUAAUAUUAAAAUUUGAUAAACUGAUUUAUUUUUUAAAUCUCUAACUUCUUAAUUUUUGAAAUAUUAAUAAAGUAAUAUUAUUUUGUUUUGGAUAGGCUUUUAUGAACUAAAACAAUUGUUUUAUGAUAUAGCAAAUAAACUCUAUUAAUUAUAAUAAAAUAAUUUUAUUAAAAAUAUUGUAAAUGAUAUUACAAAGGAAUUAUUAGAUUAAUUAGAUUUAAUAAUUAAUAAUUUAAUUAUAGUUAAUAUAAUUUAAUUAUUAUAUUAGUUUAAUAAUCUCUAUAACUUAUUUAAUAUUUUAAAUAUUAAAAUAAUUUUAAUAAUAAUUAAUUUAAAUGGGUUAUACAUUUAAUAAUAAUCAUUAAUAUAUUCUAAUACAUAUAUAUCUUAAUAUAGAUAUUAUAAUAAUUAUAAUAAUUAAUAAAACAAAUUUUAUAUAUUAUUAGAUUUAUAAUAUAUAAUUAAUCUAAUUAGAUAAUCUAAUUAGAUAAGUUAUUAUUUUGUUAAUAAUAAAACUAUUAUUAUCAACUAUAAUAGAUUUAAUUAGUGAAUAUUAAUAAACUUGUAUAAUUAUUAAUAGUUUUAUGAUUAAGUAAUGGAACUGAUUAUUAUAAUAACAUAUAAAUAAAUAUAAUACUAUUUACUAGUGUUAAUAAAAUUAUUAAAUAUUAUGAAUCCUAUAUAAUAAUUUUACAUUAAAAUUAAUAUAAUCUAGUUAAUUAUAUAAUCAAAAUAAUUUUAAAUAAUUAUUAUUUAUUUAUAAUUAAUUAUAUAUUAAUAUAUUAAAAAAUAUUAAAUUCUAAAUAUUAAUAAGAUUUAAAUUUGUUAUAUAUAUUUAUAAUUAAUAUAUAAUUUAUUUAAAAUUAAUAAUUUUAAAUAUGAAUAUAAUUAAUAAAUAUUCCACAAAUCUAAAAAUAACUAUAUUUAAUUUAAUAAAAUAAUUAAUAUAAUGUUAAUUUAUUUAAAACUAAAUUUUAAAUUCAUUAUUAUUUAUUAUGUUAGUUAAUAUAAUAUUUAAAAUAUUAAUGAAUAUUUAUAAAAUUAUGAUAAAUAAUUAAGUAUUGUUAAUUAUUUAGAUUAAUAUUUAAAAAUAUUAAAUUAUUAUAAUUACAAUAUAUAAAUUAUAGCAUUGUAAUUAUUUUAAAUUAACAAGUAUAAUUAACUAAUUAUAUUAAUAAUUACUACAAAAUAAUAUAACUAAUUAUAAAACUAUAUAAUAAAUUAGUUUGUCUUUAUAUUAUUUAUUAUAUUAUAAUAAUAAUAUAAUAAUUAUAAUAUAUUUGAAUUAAUAUAUAAUUUAAUAAUAUAGUUAAUAUUAUAUAUAAAAAUUUUAAUAUAAUAAUUAUAUUAAUUAUAUUAUUAUAUAAUAAAUAUAAUCUAAAAUAAUUAAUAGAUAUAUAAAUUCUUUUUUGUAUAUAAUAUAAAAAAUUUUAAAUAAAUAAUUAGUAUAAAAAAUUAUUGCAAAUAUAAUGAUAUUUUACAACUAUAUUUUUCAUAUUAUAAAUUGUAUGAAAAAUAUCUUAAAUUUUUAUAAUUUAAAUUUUAAAUUCCUUAUUCUAAAAAUUAGAAUAAUAUUCCUUAUCAAGAUUUUUUUAUUAGUUUAAAAAAAUGCUUUUUCUAAUUAUUCAUACAAGCUUAACAAAAGAUCAGAAUGAUUUGAAAUAGAUAAUUAUUCUAAUAGUCUUAACCAUUUAAAUUGAUUUAGUAAACAAAUUUUAUUUUUUAAAUCUCCUAUUUUGUGAUAUUAUUAAAUUAGUAUUAUUUUAAUCUGAAUAAGCUUGUACUGAUAAAACAAUUGUUUUAUAAUAAAAUUAGUAAGUAGAGUGCAAAACAAGAGACAACCACUUAGCCAUUGAUAAGAUCAAUCCCCUCACGGAAGGGAUUGAUCAAGUCGUGUUUUUUAAGCAUGAAUGGCAUAAAACUUGAAGCAGUCAACCCCCUCAAGGAAAGGAUCAAUAGGGUCUAGGCAUAAUCACACCAAUGGAUAUUUUUUCAUUCUUUCAACGGCUAUUUUCUUCUCCCAAGCAUCCCCAAUGGCUACUCCAACACACCAAGAAGAUUGAUGAAUCAAUAGAGGAAGAGUCAAUAAGCCAUAUUUUCAUUCUCUUAAAGAAUCAAGAGUUUUUAGAGCUUUAAAGUCCAUAUCUUUGUAUUUAUUGUAUCCAAAUUAUAUUUGUUGUUCAUUCAUCAUUUUCUUGUACUUAAACUUAGCAAACACUUAGCCUUAGAGAGGUUGUUUAAUUGUUUGCAAAAUUACCUUUGAUAUACAAAGGUGGAAGACAACAAGAGGUGAGGUAUCCUCUUGAUAUUGUAAGGGUAGAUGUUGCUAUCUAAGCUUUGAGAAAAAAAUGAAGAUUUAGUACAAGAUAGGCUUGUAUCUUGUAAGAAUUUUUCUUCAAUUAGUGGAUUGAAGCUUUUGUGUGGACAACCAAGAGAAGAUGUAAGUACCUUGUGAAGAAGGACAGAACCUCUAUAAAUCAUUGUGUUUGAUUUCUCUAUCCCUAUCUCUUUACAAUUUAUUAUUACUUAUAUUUGAUUUUAGACUCAUUAAUUGUUAUUGUCAGUAUUAUAUUUUCAUCAAAAGAGCUUAUUAUUUUAAUUUUCAUUCAAUUAUAUUGAAAUCAUUUAUUUGGAAAGAAUUUGAAGAAAUCCAAUUCACCCCCCUCUUAGAUCACCAUCUCACCUAAAAAGCUAACAAUAUUACUUAAACUAAUAAAAUAUUUAUAAUAAUUAUUUAAUAUUAAUUAUUUAUAAAUUUAUUGUGUCUUAACAAUAAAUUAAUUUGAACAUUUAAAUAUAAUCAAUAAGAGAUUUAAAAAGUAAAUCUGCUUACCAAAUCAUUUCAAAUAGUUUUGACUAUUUGAAUAAUUAUCUAUUUUAAAUCAUUAUAACCUUUGUAUUUUGUCAUCAAAUAAUUUGUUCUAUUUAUACUAUUUUAUUCGAAAUAAAAUAAUGCAAAUUUAAAAUAUUUAAAAACUUAAUAACCAAAUUUUUUUUUUAAAAAAAAAUCUAAACCAAUUCAAAUAGUUAAAACUAUAUAAAUGAUUAUCUAUUUCAAAUUGUUAUGUGCUUUUCUUUUGGCAUAAAACAAUUCUUUUGUUUGUACAAGCUUAUUCAUAUUAACAUAAUACUAAUUUCAUAAUAUUUAAAAAAUAAAUUUAUCUAUCGAAUCAUUUCAAAUGGUUAAGACUAUUAUAAUAAUUAUAUACUUCAAAUCGUUUUAACCAUUUUUUAGUCAUAAAACAAUUGUUUCAAUUCAUACGAGCUUAUUCAAAAUAAAUUAAUACUAAUUUAUUAACAUUUAAAAAAUUAAUAAGAAAAGAUUCAAAAAAUAAAUCUGAUUGUCGAACAAGUUCAAAUUGUUAUUAUUAUUUGAACAAUUGUCUAUUUAAAAAUCUUAUAACCUUUUAAUUUGUCAUAAAACAAUUGUUUUAAUUAAUAUAAGCUUAGAUGGAAUAAAAUAAUACUAAUUUAUUAAUAUUUCCUAAAUUAAUAAGAAAUUUAAAAAAUAAUUACGACCAUUUGAAUAAUUAUCUAUUUCAAAUCACUAUGACCUUUUUAUUUUGUCAUAAUACAAUUGUUUUUUAUCAUACAAGCUUAUUUGAAAUAAAAUAAUACUAAUUGAUUAAUAUUUCAAAAAUAAUAGGUAACAGAUUUAAAACAAUAAAUUUGUUUACCAAACCAGUUCAAAUAGUUAUGACUAUUUGAACAAUUAUCAAUCUCAACAUAAAACAAUUGUUUCUAAUCAUAGAAGCCUAUUCGGUUAAAAAUAAUAUUAAUUUAAUAAUAUUUCAAAAAUUAAUAAGGGAUUUAAAAAUUAAAUAUAUUUGCUAAACCGGUUCAAAUAGUAAAAACAAUUAGAAUAAUUAUCUAUUUCAAAUGGUUCAAACCUUUUGUUUAGUCAUAAAAUAUUUGUUUCAUGUCUUAUAAGCUGAUUUGGAAUAAAAUAAUCUAAAUUUAUGAACAUUUGGAGAAUUAAUAAGCAAAAGAUUUGAAAAAAUAAAUUUGUUUACCAAACAAGUUUAAAAAGUUAUGACUAUUUGAUCAAUUAUUUUUAUAAAAUUAUUAUGACCUUUUGUUUUGACAUAAAACAACAAUUGUUUCAAUUCAUAAAAGCUUAUCCAAAAUAAAAAGAAUUUAAUAAGCAAGAGUUUAAAAAAAUAAAUUUGUUUAUCGAGCAAAUUCAGAUAGUUAUAGCUAUUUGAAUAAUUAUUUAUUUCAAAUCGUUAUGAUCUUUUGUUUUGUCAUAAAAUAAUUUUUUUUAUUUGAGAUAGUAAAUAAAUUAAUUUAGAUAAUAAUUAACAAUAAAUUAUUAUUGAAUUGAAACAAUUAUUUUAUGAUAAAACAAAAAGUGAUAAUGAUUUUAAAUAGAUAAUUGUUCAAAUAGUUUAAGCUUAUUCAAUAAACAUUUAUUUUUUAAAAUUUCUUGCUUAUUAAUUUUUUGAAUGUUAAUAAAAUUAUAUUAUAUUAUUUCAAAUUAGCUUGUAUGUACUAAAAAAAUUUUAAGAAUCAUUAAUUAAUAAUUGUAUUAAUAAUUAACAAUAUUAUUAAUGGCUAUUGAAUAAAUUAUUAAUAGUAUUAAUAAUAUUAUAUUAAUAUUAAUAAUAUAUUUAAUAAUCCAAUUAAAAUUUAACAUAUAUUAAUUUUCUAUUAUAAUUAUAUAAAUAUUAAUAAUUAAUUAUAAUUAAUAAGGAUUAUAAUUAAUACAAAUAAAUCUUUUAUUAAUACACAAUUAUUUGAAUUAUCAUACAAUUAACAAAUAUUAAAAAAUAAUUGUGACCAUUUGAACAUUUAAAUAUUAGUUAUUUAAAUGUAUAAAUUAUUAUUUAAUAAAGAUUAAAAUAUUAAUUAUAAUUAUUAAAUGAAUUAUAAUAGAUUAAAAUUAGUAUUGUAAUAAUAAUUAAAAUUAUCCUAAAAAUUUCAAAAAUGAAGAAAAAAUGACAAAAUCAAUCUUUAAUUUAUGAUUUAAAACUUAAUUUGAAUUUGAAAGUUUAGAUGCAACAUAUUUUAAUUUGAAUUGAAAAUUUAAUUUUUAAAUCGUUAAAAAUGUAAAAAUAAAUAUACAUGAGUAAAUAGUGAUAGAUAUAACAAUUCCAAACUAGUGUUAUUAUAUGUAAGCCAAUAAAAUUCAAAAAAAAAAUAACAAAGAUAAUUAUUAUCUCUUAACAAAUUGUAUUAAAUAAAAGAUAAAUAUUAUACAAUCCAAAAAUUGCAAAUAAAAUAAUAAGUAAUAAAUAAAAUAAUUCAAAUUGUAUUAAAUAUUAUACAAGAUAAUUUUGUUAAUUAGAUAAACUACACGAUAAAUAAAAACAAUUUUCAAGAUAAAAUACAAGAUGAUGUUAAUUAGAUAUCAAAUUAGUAUACAUGCACAUAACACCUUCCAUUUCUAAUGACUAAUAAAAAUUUCAACAAUGAAAAAAUGACAAAAUAGAAAAAAUUUAGUUUAUAAAAUACAACCAAAAAAUAAAAAAUAUAACAAAUAAUAAGAUAUAAAUAUAUAAAAAAUCAAAGAUCAAAAAUUAAAAGAAGAUCAAAAAUGAAAAGGGAUGACAAAGUAGAAAAAAAAAUUAAUUUAAAAAAUACAAGCAAAAAAAUGUAAAAAAAAAAAUAAAAAUAUCAAAGAUAGAAAAAUUAACAGAAAGAAAAAGUUAAUACAAAAUAAAAAUUUAAAAAAAAAAAACAAGUGUUAAAAAAAAAGGAAACAAGAAACAAAAAUAAUUUUGUGAAAAAAAUUAGAAAAACAAGAAAAAAUAAAAACUAAAGAAGCAAAAAUAUGAAAAAGUUUUAUAGAAAAUUUUAAAACAAAGAAAAAAGUGAAAACAAAAAAAAAUUUAAAAGGAAAAAAGUUAAUAAAAAAUUAUAAAAAUACAAUAGAAAAUAACUAACAACGAUAAAUAAAAAAAAAGAAAAAAACGACAAAAAAUUAAAAAAUUCAAAACAUUAUAAAAAUUUAUAAAAAUAUAAAUAAUGAAAGAAAUAAAAAAUAAAAAUAAAAUAAGAAAAAAAUAUUAAAGCAAAACAAAAAAGAUAAAUAAAGUUCAAAAAAAAAUUGAAUAAAAAUUUCAAAAAUGAAAUGGAAUGACAAAAUAGAAAAAAAUAUUUUAAAAAGUAUAAAAAAUUGAAAAACAUAUAAGAAAUAAUAAUAAAACAAUAUAAAAAAUCAAAGACAAAAAAUUAAGAAAGAGAAAAGCUAAUGCAAAAUAAAAAUGAAAACCAAAGACAAAAAUGCAAAAAAAAAGUAUAAGAAUUUAAAAACGCAAAUAAGAAAUAAAAAGAAUUUGUGAAAAAAUUAAGAAAAGAAUAAAAAUGAAAAGACAAAAGAUUUGAAAUAAAAAAAGAAAAGAAGAAUAUAAAAAAUUUUAAAACAACAAAAUUUAAAACAAAUAAAAAUGAAAGCAUAUGAAAAAAAAAGUAAAAAGAAAAAAAUUUUGAAGAAAAAAAGUUAUUGAAAAAUUAUAAAAUAAAGAAAAAAUACUAAAAAAAAAGACAAAAUAAGAAAGAAUCAAAAAAUAAGAAUAAAAAAAUUUUGAACUUUAUAAAAUUUUUUUAAAUAUAAAUAAAAAAUAAAAGAAAAAUAAAAUAAAAUAAAAUACUAAAAAAAUAAAAAAGUAAGAAACUAAAAAUUAGAGAAUAAAAAAUUAAUAAAAAGACAACUAAUGAAAAUUUAAAAUAUAAAAUAAAAAAAUAUUUUAGUUUAGAAUAUACAAAGAAAAACAAAAAAAAUGAAGAGGCAAAAAUAUGAAAUAAAACAAAAAGAAAAAAAAAGUUUAUAGAAAAGAAUAUACAAAGAAAAAGUGCAAACAAAAAAAUUAUGAAAGCACACUGAAAAAUAUGUAAAGAAAACGAAAAAAAUUAAAAGUAAAAAAAGUUAAUGAAAAAUUAAAAAAUGUAAUAGAAAAUAACCAACAAUAAUAAUUAAAAAUAAUAAAAAAUCCAAAACAUUAUAAAAAUUUUUGAAAAUAUAAAUGAAAAAGAAAUAAAUUAAACCGAAAUAAAAAUAAAAUAAGAAAAAAUAUUAAAGCAAAAGAAAAAAGAUAAAUAAAGUACAAAAAUAUAAUAAAAAUAUAAAAAGUAAGAAAAUAAAAAAUAAUGAAUCAAAAAUAAAAAAUAAAAGAAGACAAAAAUUGAAUAAAAAUGUGAAAAUUGAAAAGGAAUUACAAAAUGAAAAAAAAAUAGUUCAAAAAAUACAAAAAAAUUGAACAACAUAUAAGACAUAAUAAGAAAACAAUAUAAAAAAUCAAAGAAAAAAAACCGAAAAAGAGAAAAGUUAAUUCAAAAUAAAAAUGAAAACCAAAGAAGAAAAUGCAAAAAAAAAAAAAAAAUACAAGAAAAAAGAAUAAAAAUAAAAAGACAAAACAAGAUUUGAAAUAAAAACAGAAUAUAAAAAAAUUUAAAACAAUGAAAAAAUUAAAACAAACAAAAAAUGAAAGCAUAUGAAAAAAAUAAGCAAGAAAAAAAUUUUUGAAGGAAAAAAGUUACUGAAAAAUUAUAAAAUAGAACAAAAAAUAGGAAAAAAAAAGACAAUAAGAAAAUAAAAUAAAAAAGAUUCACAAUAAAAAUAAAAAAUUUUUGAAGUUUAUACAAAUUUUUUAAAAUAUAAAUAAAAAAUAAAAUAAACACUAAAAAAAUAACAAUUAAGAAUAAACAAAAACAAAAAAUAAAAAAGUACAAAAAUAAAAAAUUAAAGAAUAAAAAAGAUAUAAAAAGACAAAAUGAAUAAAAAUUUGAAAUAUAAAAUAUAAAAAACUUUUAGUUUAGAAUAUACAAAGAAAAACAAAAAAACAAGAAAACAUUGCAAAGUCAAAGCCAAAAAUUAAAAAAGAAAAAGGUUAUUGCAAAAUAAAAAUAAAAAUCAAAGGAGAAAAUGAAAAAAAAAGUAUGAGAAUUUAAAAAUGCAAAUAAGAAAUAAAUAGAAAUUUGUGAAAAAAAUAAGAAAAGCAAGAAUAGAAUAACAAUGAAAAGACAAGAUUUGAAAUAAAAAAGAAAAAAAAAAGUAAAAAAUAUUAAAAGAAUGAAAUAAUGAAAACAUAUAAAAAUGUAAGCAUGUGAAAAAAAAAAGCAAAAAGAAAGAAAAUUUUGAAGGAAAAAAGUUGUUGAAAAAUUAUAAAAUAGAACAAAAAAUACAAAAAAAAAAGACAAUAAGAAAAUGAAAAAAUUAAAAUGAUUCAAAAAAUUAAAAAAAAAUUUUAACUUUAUAAAUUUUUUAAAAUAUAAAUAAAAAAUAAACGAAAAAAUAAAUUAAGUAAAAAUAAAAUAAAAUAGUAAAAAAAGAAAAAAAAAAGGAAGAAUAUAAAAAUUUAGCUAAUAAAAAAAGAUAAAAAGACAAGAUGAAGAAAAUUUUCAAAUAUAAAAUAGAAAAAAGUUUUAUUUUAGAAUAUACAAAGAAAAACAAAAAAAAAUUUAACAAAUAUAAAAAAGACAAAAAAACAAAGAUAAAAAAUAAAAUAAAAAAUCAAUAUAAAAUAUAAAUAAAAACAAAAAAAAGUACACAAAAAAAGAAGUCUUGAGAUUUUGUAAUUGUAAAGAACAAAUAAAAAAAUGUGAACAAAAAUAUAAGAAAAAGCAAGAAAAAAAUAAAAAAAAUGAAAAUACAAAAUAUAUAUAAAAAUUAAAACAAAAAAAAAUGAAAGCAAAUGAACAAAUAAGCUAAAAGAAAAAAAGAAUUACUAAAGAAUUAUAAAAAUAGUAUAGAAAGUACCAAAAAAAUAAAAAAAAUGACAACAAAAAUGAGACAGACCAAAAGAAAAAAAGAUUAAAAAAUAAAGUAAAUAUCCAUAACAUUAUAAAUUUUUUGUAAAAAAUAACAAAAAUUAACAAUAAAAAAUAAAAGAAAAAAAAUAAGAGAAAGUAUUAAAGCAAAAGAAAAAAGAUAAAAAUAAAUAAAUAAAACACAAACUAAAAAAAUAAAGAAGGAAAUGAAAAAAAAAUGUCAAAAUUUUUUUUAAAAAAUACAAAAACUAAUAAAAAUGAGAAAAAUGACAAAAUAGAAAAAACUUUAGUUUAUAAAAUACAAACAAAAAAUAAGAUAUAAAGAUAUAAAAAAACUAAAAGAAGAAAAAGUUAAAACAACAAAAAAUAAAAAUAAAAGAAGGAAGUGUGGGAAAAAAAAAAACACAAACUAGAAAAAAAUGCAAAAAAAAAACCAAAAAAAAAUAAAGAAAAACCUUAAGAAAAAAAAAAAAAAAAAAAUUAAGAUAGAAAGUAAAGAGUACAAAAAAGAAUUAAUAAAAAAUAAUGUAAAUGACCAAUUAGAUUGAAGUAACGAAAAAAAUCAAAGUAAAAAAAAAAAAAUGUAGUGAAAGAGUAAUAGAAUGAAAACAAGAAAGAAAAUAUUUUGUAAAAAAAAAAAGAACGAAAAUAAAAAAAAGAAAAAUAUACUAAAUAACAAAUAUAUAAUAAAUGAAAAAUUAAGAAAAUGCGUAGAAAGUAAAAAAAAAAAGAACAAAAAGAAAAAGAAAGUAAAUAAAGAAAUAAUAAAAACUAUACAAAGUUCAAUUUUUAAUUUAUGUUUUAAAACUUAAUUUGAAUUUGAAAAUUUAGAUGCAAAAUAUUUUGAUUUGAAUUUAUUGAUUUAAAUUUAGAAUUUUUAAUUUUUUAAUUGUUAAAAAAUUAAAAAUAUAGAUAUAUGAAGUAAAUAGUGAUAGAUAUAACAAUUCCAAACAAUGUUAUUAUAUAUAUAUAAGCCAAUUAAAUUCCAAAAGAAAAUAACAAAGAUAAUUAUUAUCUCUUAACAAAUUGUAUUAAAUAAAAUAUAAAUCUUAUACAAUCCAAAAUAAUAAAUAAAAAAAUAAUAAGUAAUAAUAAAAUAAUCCAAAUUGUAUUAAAUAAAAGAUAAUAUUAUACAAUAUAAUUUUGUUAAUUAGAUAAAUUACACGAUAAAUAAAAAUAAAUUUCAAGAUAAAAUACAAGAUCUUAAUUAAAUAUCUAAUUAGUAUAAAUGUACAUAACACCUUCCAUUCAUAAUGAAGUCAAAGUCUCAUUCAACAAUGUUUUAAUGCCCAUAACAUUAUAAAAUUUUUAUAAAAAAACAAAAAUAACAAAAAUAAAAAAUAAAAGGAAAAAAAAGAGAAAAUAUUAAAGCAAAAGGAAAAAGAUAAAAUAAGCACUAAAAAAGAGAAAAAAAAUUAAAAAGGAAACGAAAAAAUAAUGAGUCAAAAGAAAAAAUUAGAAAAGUAUAAAAACGAAUAAAAAAUUUCAAAAAUGAAGAAAAAAUGACAAAAUAGAAAAAAUUUUAGUUUAUUAAAUACAAACAAAUAAUAAAAAAUAUAACAAAUAAUAAGAUAAAAAGAUAUAAAAAAUUGAAGAUAAAAAAUGAAAAGGGAUGACAAAGUAGAAAAAAAUUUAAUUUAGAAAAUACAAGCAAAAAAAAUGUAAUACGAAAAAAAUAAAAAAAUUAAAAAUAGAAAAAUGAACAAAGGGAAAAAGUUAAUACAAAAUAAAAAUAAAAACAAAACAAGUGUAAAAAAAUGUAAACAAGAAACAAAAAGAAUUUUGUGAAAAAAAUUAGAAGAACAAGAAAAAAUAAAAACAAUUUAAAAGGAAAAAAAAGCUAAUGAACAAUUAUAAAAAUACAAUAGAAAAUAACCAACAUCGAUAAAUAAAAAAAAAAAAGAUAAAAAAAUAAAAAAAUCCAAAACAUUAUAAAAAUUUAUGAAAAUAUAAAUAAAGAAACAAAAAAUAAACCAAAAUAAAAAAUAAAAAUAAAAUAAGAAAAAAUAUUAAAGCAAAACAAAAAAGAUAAAUAAAGUAAAAAAAAUCAGUAUCAAUAAGAAAAGAAAAAAUAAACAAAAAUACAAUAAAUAAUAUAAAAAGUAAGAAAAUAAAAAACAAAUCAAAAAAAAAAAAACAAAUUGAAUAAAAAUUUCAAAAAUGAAAGGGAAUGACAAAAUAGAAAAAAAUAUUUUAAAAAUACAAAAAAUUGAAAACAUAUAAGAAAUAAUAAGAAAAUAUAUGAAAUCAAAGACAAAAAAUUAAAAAAAAGAAAAGUUAAUGCAAAAUAAAAAUGAAAACCAAAGAAGAAAAUGCAACAAAAAAAGUAUAAGAAUUUAAAAACACAAAUAAGAAAUAAAAAAAUUUGUGAAAAAAUUAAGAAAAGAAUAAAAAUGAAAAGACAAUAUUUGAAAUAAAAAAGAAAAAAAGAAUAUAAAAAAUUUUAAAACAAAUAAAAAAUGAAGUCAUAUGAAAAAAAUAAGCAAAAAGAAAGAAAAUUUUGAAGGAAAAAAGUUGUUGAAAAAUUAUAAAAUAAAACAAAAAAUAGCAAAAAAUAAGACAAAAAAUAAGAAAAUGAAAAAAUAAAAAAAUUUUGAACUUUAUAAAAAAAUUUUAAAAUAUAAAUAAAAGAAAAAAUAAAAAAUAAAUUAAUAGACAAUAUUAAUAUAAUAGAAAAAAACUAAACACUAAAUACUAAAAAAUAAAUACAACAAAAAAUAAAAGUAAGAAAAUAAAAAAUAUAUAAAAAGACAAAAUGAAUAAAAAUUUCAAAUAGAAAAUAGAAAAAACUUUUAGUUUAGAAUAAACAAAGAAAAACAAAAAAAUAUAACAAAGGUAGAAAAUAAGAAAUAAAAAAUCAAAGAAAAAAUAAAAUAAAAGUCAAUACAAAAUAUAAAUAAAAACAAAAGAAAGCGCACAAAAAAAGAAAAAUGAGAUUUUCAAAUUGUAAAGAAGAAAUAAAAAAAAGCAAGAAAAAAAUGAAAAAUACAAAUACAAAAAAUAUAAAAAAAAUGAAAGCAAAUGAGCAAAUAAGUUAAAAGAAAAAGAAAAAAAGAAUUAAUGAAAAAUUAUAAAAAUAACAUAGAUAAUAGCAAAAAAAAAAAAUGAGACAAAUCAAAAGAAGAAAAGAUUAAAAAAGAAAGUAAAUAUCAAUAACAUUAUAAAAUUUUUAUAAAAAAUAACAAUAAUUAACACUAAAAAAUAAAAAGAAAAAUAAAAUAAGAGUAUUAAAGCAAAAGGAAAAAGAUAAAAUAAGUAUUAAAAAAAGAGAAAAAUUAAAAAUAAACAAAAACACAAAACAAAAAAAUAAAAAAUAAAAAAGUAAAUGAAAAAAUGAGUAAAACAAAAUAAAAAAAAUACAAAAACUAAUAAAAAUGAAAAAAAUGACAAUAGAAAAAAUUUUAGUUUAUAAAAUACAAACAAAUAAUAAAAAAUAUAACAAAUAAUAAGAUAUAAAGAUAUAAAAAAUCAAAGAUAAAAAAAUUUUAAAAAAAAGUUAAUACAAAAUAAAAAAUAAAAACAAAAGAAGGAAGUGUGAAAAAAAAAACACAAAUUAAAAGGAAAUGCCAAGAAAAAAAAAGAAAAACCUUAAAAAAAAAUAAAAAAAGAUAAAAAGUACAAAAAUACAAAAAGUACAAAAAAAAAGAAAAAAUUAAUAAAAAAUAAUAUAAAUGACCAAUUAGAUUGAAGCAACAAAAAAAUCAAAGUAAAAAAGAAAAAUAUGUAGUGAAAGAAUAAUAUAAUGAAAACAAGAAAGAAAGUAUUUUGUAAAAAAAAAAGAAAAAUAUGCUGAAUAACAAAAUAAUAAUAAAUGAAAAAUUAAGAAAAUGUAUAAAAUGUAAAAAAACAAAAAGCUAAAAAAAGGAAAUAAAUAAAGAAAUUAAAAAUUUCUACAAAAUUCAAUCUUUAAUUUAUGUUUUAAAACUUAAUUUGAAUUUGAAAGUUUAGAUGCAAAAUAUUUUGAUUUGAAUUUAUUGAUUUAAAUUUAAAAUUUUUAAAUCGUUAAAAAUGUAAAAAUAUAGAUACAUGAAGUAAAUACUAAUAGAUAUAACAAUUCCAAACUAGUGUUAUCAUAUAUAAGCCAAUAAAAUUUCAAAAGAAAAUAACAAAGAUAAUUAUUAUCUCUUAACAAAUUGUAUUAAAUAAAAGAUAAAUAUUAUACAAUCCAAUAUAAUAAAUAAAAUAAUAAGCAAUAAACAAAAUAAUUCAAAUGGUAUUAAAUAUUAUACAAGAUAAUUUUGUUAAUUAGAUAAAUUACACAAUAAAUAAAAACAAUUUUCAAGAUAAAAUACAAGAUGUUAAUUAAAUAUCUAAUUAGUAUACGUACACAUAACACCUUCCAUUUCUAAUGAAGUUACAGUCUUAUCAACAAUAUUUUAAUAUCCAUAAAAUUAUAAAAUUUUUAUAAAAUAACAAAAAUAAAAAAUAAAAGGAAAAUAAAAUUAAAAAAUAUUAAGACAAAAGGAAAAAGAUAAAAUAAGUACUGAAAAAGGAAAAAAAAAUUAAAAUAACAAAAGCACAAAAUAGAAAAAAUAAGAAAGUAAAAAAAUGAAAAACUAACGAGUCAAAAAAAAUACAAAAAAUAAAAAAAUUUUCAAAAAUGGAAGAAAAAUGACAAAAUAGAAAAAUAUUUAGUUUAUAGAACAAAGAAAAAAAGUUCGAUAGAAAUUUUAAAACAAAGAAAAAAGCGCAAACAAAAAAAAUAUGUAAGAAAAAGAAAAAAAUAAAAACGAAAAAAAGUUAUGAAAAAUUAAAAAAUGCAAAUAGAAAAUAACCAACAAUUAUAAAUUAAAAAAGAAAAAAAAAUCCGAAAUAUUAUAAAAAUUUAUGAAAAUAUAAAUAAAAAAUAAAAAAUAAACCAAAAUAAAAAUAAAAUAAGAAAAAAUAUUAAAGCAAAAGAAAAAAGAUAAAUAGAGUACAAAAAAAAAGGAAAAAAUCAAUACCAAUAAGAAAAGAAAAAAUAAACAAAAAUAUAAUAAAAAAUAUAAAAAGUAAGAAAAUAAAAAAGAUAAAAAUUGAAUAAAAUUUGAAAAAUGAAAAGAAAUGACAAAAUGAAAAAAAAAUAGUUUAAAAAAUACAAAAGAAAUUGAAAAACAUAUAAGAAAUAAUAAGAAAACAAUAUAAAAAAUCAAAGAUAGAAAACUAAAAAAGAGAAAAGUUAAUGCAAAAUAAAAAUGAAAACCAAAGAAAAUGCAAAAAAAAAGUAUGAGAAUUUAAAAACACAAAUAAGAAAUAAAAAGAAAUUUGCAAAAAAAAUUAGAAAAGCAAGAAAAAGAAUAAAAAUAAAAACAAAAAAUUUGAAAUAAAAAAAAAUUAAAAAAUUUUAAAACAAGAAAAAUUAAAACAAAUAAAAAUAAAAGCUAUAAAAAGAUAAGAAAAAAGAAAAAAAAUUUAAGGAAAAGUUAUUGAAAAUUAUAAAUAGACAAAAAUAGCAAAAAAAAAGAACAAAAUAAAAUAAAAUAAAUUCAACAAAAUAAAAAUAAAAAUUUUGAAGUUUAUACAAAUUUUUAAAAUAAAUAAAAAUAAAAAAAAAAAUAAAUAAAGAAACAAUAUUAAUAUAAAAGAAGUAAAAUAAAUAAAAAUACUAAAAAAUAACAAUUAAAAAUAAACAAAAACAAAAAUAAAAAGUAAGAAAAUAAAAAAUAUAUAAAAAGACAAAAUAAAUAAAAAUUUCAAAUAUAAAAUAGAAAAAACUUUUAGUUUAGAAUAUACCAAAAAAUAUAUAAUAAAUAUAGAAAAAAAAAGAUAUAAAAAAAUCAAAGAUAAAAAAUAAAAUAAAAGUCAAUAGUAAAUAUAAAUAAAAAUGAAAGGAAAUGCAAAAAAAAAAAAAAAUCUGAGAUUUUAAAAUUGUAAAGAAGAAAUAAAAAAAAAGUGUGAACAAAAAGAUAUAAGAAAAAGCAAGAAAAAAAUAAAAAAUGAAAAAAAGUUAAUGAAAAUUUAUAAAAAUGCAACAGAUAAUAACCAACAAUGAUAAAAUAAAAAAAAAAAGAAAAAAAGAUAGAAAAAUAAUAAAUAAUAAAUAAAAUAAAUAAUAAGUAAUAAAUAAAAUAAUCCAAAUUGUAUUAAAUAAAAGAUAAAUAUUAUACAAUAUAAUUUUGUUAAUUAAAUAAAAUACACGAUAAAUAAAAACAAAUUUCAAAAUAAAAUACAAGAUCUUAAUUAGAUAUCUAAUUAAUAUACAUGCACAUAACACCUUCUAUUUUUAAUGAAGUCAAAGUCUCAUUCAACAAUGUUUAAUAAUAGGGUGAUCUGCAUUUAAGUUAAAACACAAGCAACAUGCCACAUAUAUAGAGAACAAUGCUAUUUUAGAAAUAAAGAAUCAAACUUGAACUUCAUGAUUUAAGACCAUAAUGAACUAAUCCUAAAGCAAAAAGAUUCAAGGCAAAGACUGCCUGCAAAAUAAACCUAAUCACAUCCAUUGUUCACAAAUCAAAGAUUAUAAAUGUUUUAACUCGAAACCCAAAAGAUACGAAAGUAGAAGGCCUUUAAGAACCUAAAGAGAAAUUAAAACCAAAGCAACAAAAACUUAACAAGAAAAGACUAUAAUGAAAGGCCAAAGAUAAGAGGUAGUUUGCAUCUCAACAUAAAUAUACAACAAUUAUAUACCAACGUUAAAAAACAACAGCCACCAACCACAUCAUAAGUCAGGGUGCUUCCAAUAAUAACAGUGUUCCUUAAGAAAAGAAAGUCUAUAUUAUAAUCAGAAACAUAGAAUUUUAGCAACUUUAAUCAAACUCUUCAUGAUCUGAAAUGUACUAGAACAAGUACAGUUAUCAUCGAAAGUUACCAUACAAUACAACAAAAAUUCUAUGCAAGAUCAUAGAUUUUCAAAGAAUCCAAUAAGAAAGAGGCAAUCUUCCAUCUCAGUGCUUAACUAGAUUUAAGUUUAUGAAAUUAAUCUUAAGAAAGUAAUCCCUCAUGCAACAAAAUAAAGUGAAAUCAGCAAAACAAGAAGAAUCAAAACACAACACAAGAAGAAAGAGGUACUCUUCAUUGUAAGCACUCAUCUUCAGUGCUAGGCUGGAUUAAGUUUUUGAAAUUAAACCUAAGAUUACAAUUUGUCAUGCAACAGAGUUGAACAAGCAAAAUAAAAAAAUAAAAAACUCAACCAUACAAAUUUGGAGUACACUGCUAUACAAUCUCUAAUUCCUCUCUCUAGCAAAUCGUGUUCGGAGUACACGAUCAACUAAUUUCCGUAUAGACUACUAAAUGCAACCACAAUUAAGAAAAGUUUACAAAACUACAAUCUGUACACAAAAGAUAAAACUAAAAUUUAAAUGGAAUGUUAAAGCAUAAGAGAUCAAAUAUUAAUUGAAGUUCAGAUUAAACUCCAGCAAGUCAAAAGCACUACAACAAAAAAUUAGACAUUAACCAGAAGCUAUGGGAAUGAAAUCUAGAAGCCAACUUGCAGAAUAAAACCAACAAACACACAGACAUAGAAAUUUUGAAACUUUAAUUCCUUCUAUCCUGCAAGGUAUGCUUGGAGCACAUAGCCCAUAUAGCUUCAAAGAGACAAACAGAUGACAACUAGGCACACUCAUGAAUGAAGAAACCACAACCCAGGAAUUUCUUUUGUAGUACAUUCUCCUAAUGCAUUCUCAAACAACUUCAUCAAUAGCAAUAAAUUGCACCGAUAUAUAAGCAUAUACGGAGUGAAGAGACAUAAUUUAACAGUUCUGUAAAAGAAUUUUCCUCAUUUCCCAAUCUGAGAAAGCACCCAAGAGACUGUUGACACAUAUAGGAGUAUAGAAUUACAGUUCUGCUCAUAGUUGCUUUGCUAUUUUUAAUUAUAUUUAUAUAUGAGGUGGUGCAUAAUGCUUCUUUUUACUAAAAGAGCUAAGCAAAGGGCUUGACAGGACAGAGAGAUAUAAAACAAUCCCAAGAAUGAAAAAAAAAAAAUAACCUCAUUUUAUGUAAAGAUACCAUGAUGUAAAUGUAACAUGCACAAGUAUAAGCAAAAGCUUAAAGAAAC
rnacentral:lncRNA from 1 species